rnacentral:lncRNA from 1 species
CCCUGUAAUAAUGUUGCUCUGCCAGCCCAAUACACGAGAGGGGGACUAUAUAAGAAUCAAUGAAGCUGUCACUAUCACGAACUACCCCACGAUCUGGCAUAUUGGGUACAAUCGCAGAUAAAUACGGUAUAAGCACCAUGCUUACACAAUAUCUAUCAUUUACCCAUGGAUCCGAUGGAUAAAUGCUAUACGAUCCUAAACAUGUAUAUAGAUCGAAUCUAACUAAGUCAAGUACAUAACUAUGAUAAACUAAGAACAAUAUAAUCUUGAAUAUAAACAAGUAGACCAAAGUCAUAAGCAAUAUAUUGAAGUAGAACAAAGUCAUAUUCAUAAUAUUGAAGAACAAAGAUAAUUAGAAGAACAAUUAGAAGCACAAUUAGAGAAUUACCAAGAAUCCUCUUGACAGAUCCGGAACCCAAUCGAAGAUUGACUCCUUCUAGUUCUAAUCCUAUGUAGCUAUGCUAAUCUAGAUGUCUAAUUGAUGUGGUGGCUCUAAUCUUGAUCAGGGGCUUCUUCUCCCUUGAGGAAUAAUGAAUUAGGGUUGAGAGGCUCUCUCCUCCAGGGGCCAGGGGGUCUGGUUUAGUCCCUUCAAGUGAAUAUAGGCCGUUGGAUCAAACCGACAUUGAUUGAACGGUUAUCCUUGAUCCUUUAGGUCGGUGGAGAUAUUUCCCGAGAGAGAGUCCUUAUUGGACUCAGAGAGGGGGUGGGCGCCCAGUGCCUAGCCCCGUUCGGCCUCCGCUUCCUUCCCGUGGCUUCUAGAGUCUUCUAGAUGUAAGAUAAUUGCGCGGCACGUUGAUAUCUCUAUGUAAUCCUGACAUAUGGGCCUUUCUUCCUUAUUUUCUGAUAACCCCCUACAGAAAUAGACAAACACCAAAAGUCGUGGAAUUCUGUCAGAUGAAACCCUAAGUGUAGAUGUUUAUUUCAUUUGGAUCCUUUUCUUUGUUUAUUUGUUAAUUAAAUUUGAUACUUAAGGACCGUCAACAAACUCCCCCAAGCUUACCUCUUGCUCGUCCCUGAGCAAGGAUAGAUUAGAAGUUGCUGCAAUACUUUUAAAAAUUGACGGUACACAUGCUUUUAAAUAAGGCCUCAUCUUUGAGUUAUAGUAAACUGUCAAGACUUAAAACUUAUUCAUUUUACCUUUCACCAUGGGACUUGUAACCGUCACUUCUGUCUUGAGUAGUUAAAAGAUAGAACAGUCUAGUCAGGUGCCAUGUCUCUUAUUCUUGAUCAGCUAUAGCUCUGGAGUUUUUGCAGAUUUUCAAAUAAAACUCAGAGAUUCCUUGUAUGACUUUCUUAGAUCUCUCUUUUGUGGUAUUUCUGGAUCCUUACCAAGGCAGUGAUGGUAUAUGCCUUCUCUCAAAAUAUGUAGUAUUUGUGGUAUAUGGCAUAGUGACAUUGCCUUCUCUCUCACUCUACUCUAACGAGGCUUUAAUAUCUGGAGCUCAUAGGUGGGAGAUAAAAUAUACAUACUUACGAGACAUUUAUUGUAUAGUCAAACCAUGGAUCCAAAGAAACAAAUCAAUAAGUCAAAUCAAGAUGUGCAUGUGUAGUGAAUGAAUGGUGUAUUGUGAUGAUGUUGAUAACAAUGGUGAAAGCCUAAUUCUACUUUUGCCCUUUGAGGGGAUACAUACCUUCCUUGCUUUUUGAAAUUUUGUGAGGAGAAUGAGAUGCUCUUCUUUUUUUCUUUUUCUUUCCUCUCAGGUGGGUAUCUUGUAACCCUAAUUCUACUGUCGGACACUUGUCCAUUUUUACCUCUCGUCUCACUUUUUCUUUCCUUUCGAGGUUUCCGGCACUUGCCCCUUUUUAUUUCCUCGUAUCUUUUUUUUCUUUUUCUUUUUUUAGAGCACUCAUCUCAUGAGAUAAUAUAGCAAGUGGUAGUAACAAGACAACUUGAGCAUUUAUUUCACAGGGGAAAAACAGAAAUGUUUUUGGCUAUUCUCUCCCGGAUUAGGAGUAGAAUAUUUUUGGGUGGUUCUGGAGAUGGAAAUGGGUCGAUAUAUGUGGAUGGUACUUCUAGAGUAGAAGUAGCAUAUGUGAGUGAACGUGCAAGUGAAUCUUGAUUUAACCACAUGACAAGCUCCUAAGGGUCUACACAGCCUGACCACACUCAAUGCUCAUAAGCAGUAAAUAGUAAAUGUGUGGCUCAAAGUCUAGCAAGCAUGUAUAUAUGACUGUGGUAGGAAUUUAAACUCUCAUCAUGCAGGAACUCAUCAUGUGCUUUUUUGAAGAUUUUAAAAUAUAAAAUUCUCCAGAAUUUCUAGCAUCUCUAGAAACAGAUAAACAACAGCCCAACCUUCCCAUAUCAUAUCCGUUAACAACUUAGACUUCAGAUCAAGUUUUCAUCCCACAAGUUUAGGUUUAGAGCAAGCUUUAAAUUAUAACAAUUAUAUCUAAACUUGAGAGAAAACUUCAAAAUUUAAAAAUUAGGCAGAGCAACUAUUCAUCAUAUCCAUGCUAGAGUUUUAUCAUUAAGAUUCAGAUUAGCAUAGCAACUUUAUUUAUUUAUUUAUUAAACACACUAAGCAAAAGGCAUAUAUUUAUAUAGGCACAAAAUCUUUAUUUGGUUUUUCCUAGUUUAUGUAUAUUUAUAUUCUAAUAUAAUAUAAGUGUAAAGAUAGACAGAAAUACUUAUCGGGAUAAAUGGGGGUGCUCUCCCCCAAGCUGAAUUUUUGACGUAAUUUCUUUUGAUGUAGCUAGCAGGUGGCAGAGGUGUAUUUGAAAGUCGACAGUAUCCUGACAGUGAUUAGAAUGUCCUCCGUCUGCUAGUCUUCUUGAUUCUUAAAUUUUGUGGAGCUCAAAUAGACAACAAAGCUUGUGGAACUUGAUUAAGUGUUAGCAUAAAUAUCUAGUCUUUAUCAUGUUGUGUCUCCUCAAUAAAUGUUACUCCCUGUUUUUAUAUUUUCAUUUUAUAAAGUAGAAAAGAAAAUUUUAUUUUCUUUUUAUGCGACCACAGUGAAUGUACUUAUGGGUUUCAUGCCACCCGUAUACUCACAUGGGUCUUACUAUUUUUAACAUUUUUAUUUUCUUUUUAGGAUAGUAUGAACAUGAUUAACAAAAUGAACUAUUUUAAAUAAUUGAAAGGGAAAGGAUAACUACCAAGUUUACCUCCUCGCAAGGUGUUCGGUGUUUUUAAGUCCUCCAAACGGGACUCUCCAUUUUCUUCAAUUGUCCUGGGAUUCGUUGGGUGGCGUAGUCGGUACUUCCGGCAGCGCCUCCUCUUUAUGUAUAGUUAUCUUCUCUCUCCACACCUGACUCGGUGCUUCGGUCUCCUCAGGAUAAUUCUGUUUAAACUGUAUGUCUUCUGACCUUACAACUUCUCCUUCAUAGUCUGCCCAUCCGUCCUUGAUGAUUUGCCUCCUCUGGUUGCGGUUGCGUCGUUUUCUGACCUACUUAGAGUCUUCAAAGAUAUAGUUAGGGUCAGUAAAAUAGCGGCGUACCCUCUUUGAGCGGAAGUGCAUAUGGACUUCUCCAGUUCCAAUGUAGAUGAUUGCUUUAACGGUGCUGAGGAAUGGUCUUCCAAGGAUGAUGGGUAGAUCAUACUCGUCUUCUCCCAUGUCAAUAACCUGAAAGUCUGUGUAGACAAAAUGAUCGUCUAUUUUGACUGGGACAUCAGUUACUAUUCCUUUAACUUCUCGAAAUGUCUGAUCUGCCAUCUGGAGCUGAAUGUAUGUUGGUUUUAGGGGCAUGGUUCCGAACAAGAGCCGAUAGGUGACUGCGACCAUUAUGUUGACGCCUGAUCCAGUGUCGCAAGUCGUCUUGUAUAAGUUGUAUCCAUUUAUGGAGCAAUAGAUGCUUGGCAUUCCUGGGUCAUCCUUCUUAGUCAGAAACGGUGACUUAAGUUGGUGAUCUUGACCUCUAUGAACUGCAGUGACUAUCUUAGCUGACUCGGUCCACACUUGCUUGUUCCUGUUCCUCCUGUUGGUCCUCUUCCUUGAUUCACGUCGAGAUUGAUCUGGGAUUUGUGUAGUCUUGUUCUUGAAGAAAAACAUCUCCUUUCUCCCUUUGAUGUAGAAACUGAUUUUGGCAGCACUAGCGUAGAUGACAGCUCCCGAGGUGUUCAAUAAUGGCCUCUCUAAGAUGAUGGGUGCUCUCUCAUCAUUACCGGUCUCUAUCACCGCGAAGUCUGCUAGGGCAUAUAAGGUACCAACUCAGACACAAAGGUUCUUCAAUAUUCCCUUGGGGCAACUUAUUGUCUGAUCUGCAAACUGCAAACACAUGGUUGUUUCUAAUAAAGGAUAUGUACAGAAUUUUUCAUUGAGUACCCUGGGUAUAAUGUUGACACUAGAGCCAAAGUCGCAGAGUGCUUCUGGGACGUCCACCAUGCCGAUGGCGAUCGGGAUGACGAGGCGUCCCAGAUCACCUCUCUUGACGGGCAGAAGGUCAGUAGUGAAUUCAGUGAUGGGGUUACUCCAGUUACCUGCAUCAAACAUGUCUACAAGAUUUACAGAUUCUAAUCAUUUCGGUUGUGAUGGUAUACCGGGGAUAGUAGCAGGAACAACAGCAGCUAUUUGAUUUAACUGAGAUUCAAUCAUUUUAUUAAAGCUAAUUUGAUUCUUGAUGGCAGUAGAGAAAUGAUCCAUUCUAUUAUUUAUAUUUUCUAGCAUUUUAUCAUUAGAUGCCAAUUUCUUAGAUAGGUUAUCUAUUAGCUUUCCUUGAUUAGACACUAACUCUCUCAGAGGUGGAAAAUUAUUAUUAUGGUUGUAAGAAUUAUUACCUUGAUAAUUACCUGAGUAGUUAGGCCUUUGUUGAUUCCAACCUUGAUUUUGUUGAGGACGGUUGUAGUAGUUGUUGUUAUUGUUGAUGUAGUUCACAUCCUCAAGCAUCUCAGUGCAGUGAUUGCCUGAGUGUCCAGUAUCUCCACACUCCUCACAAGUCAUGCGAGAGUCGUAGAUGUGCAUAACUUCUUUCUUAUCUCCAGCUCUAUCGUCGAGCUUCUUGAUGAGCAGGUCUAGCUUUGCAGACAGCAUGUCUACCUCCUUGAGCUGAUGCAUACCUCCACCUCUCUUGCGUGUCUGGGUCGUCUCUUCAUUCCAGCUUUGGUUGGAUGCCAUCUUCUGCACAAGAGCUGUGGCUUGUGGUAUGGUGAGUGAUAAGAAUGCUCCUCCAACUGCAGCAUCCAUGGUCUCUCGGGCACUGUUGCCGAGCCCAUGAUAAAACGUCUGUAUUAGUAGCCAACUCUCCAUUCCAUGAUGGGGACAUUCUAGGAUGUACUCUUGGAAGCGUUCUGAUGCUUCUGGAACAGAUUCAUCAUGUUGUUGCUGAAAACUUAUAAUCAUCCCACGGAGAGCAUUGGUCUUGCCCAUGAGAAAGAACUUAGCCAGAAAGUUCGUAGCGUAGAGUGCCCACGUAGUAUUCUUCUCCUUUGUAGCAUAGAACCACUGCUUCGCUCUCCCCAACAGUGAGAAUGGGAAGAGGUGAAGUAGUAUAGCAUCUCUGGGGACUCCUGAUAUGGUGAAUGUGCUGCAUAUCUCCAGGAAGUGUUGGAGAUGAGCACUAGCAUCUUCGUGUGCCUUCCCACAGAACUGGUUGUGUUGCACCAUGUUGAUAAGUCCAGGCUUGAGCUCAAAUUUGCCAUCGAUCUCUGCAGCAGGUCCAGUGCGGAUGUUGUCUGUAGGGGGAGCUGAGAACACGUGGAUUGAUUUGUUCGCCAUGGUUUCGAACUCUGAAGACAAGUUCCAGUGAUCUUCUUGAUUGGAUGAAGCUAAGUUGUCAUCCCCAACAUGACAUGAGAGAUGCGGUAUUGAAAUAUGCAAUUGCUCUUCUAAAUAAAUAAUGAAUGGGAUCUGCAAGCACAUAGAUUAAUACCGAUGUAGCAUUUUAACCGGGAAGUAUUCCAGGUAUCGUUAUUUAUAUUUUUACCAUUGGAAAGGGAUUAGCAACCAUCAAUAUUGAUUACAGAAUAGAAUAUGAGAUUGAGUAUCUAUCAUUGCACGUAUAAUUGAGAACAUUAUAUCUAACUCUUUCAUACAGGGGUAAGUGUCACAUAAAAGAUAUAUGAAGUAAUGAAUAGUGACAAAGAUAAUUAAUCUGAUCAGCAUAACUUAGCCACAUAAUAAAUAUGAUAAGCACCUCAAUUAGAUACUCUAGAAAGUCAUUAGCAUGGAAUUAGAACGAGCUACAAGAAUAUUUCCUAAGUUAUUCUCAACUAUAUAGUCUAGCAUUAUCAUAGUUAGUGCAAGCAUACUUAGCAAUCACUGUGAGACAAGACUACGCCCAUGCAUAGUGAUAUUAGCAAGGUAAAUGAGAAACAUAGCAAUCACUCCCCUGUAAUAAUGUUGCUCUGCCAGCCCAAUACACGAGAGGGGGACUAUAUAAGAAUCAAUGAAGUUGUCACUAUCACGAACUACCCCACGAUUUGGCAUAUUGGGUACAAUUGCAGAUAAAUACGGUAUAAGCACCACGCUUACACAAUAUCUAUCAUUUACCCAUGGAUCCGAUGGAUAAAAGCUAUACGAUCCUAAACAUGUAUAUAGAUCGAAUCUAACUAAGCCAAGUACAUAACUAUGAUAAACUAAGAACAAUAUAAUCUUGAAUAUAAACAAGUAGAGCAAAGUCAUAAGCAAUAUAUUGAUGUAGAACAAAGCCAUAUUCAUAAUAUUGAAGAACAAAGAUAAUUAGAAGAACAAUUAGAAGCACAAUUAGAGAAUUACCAAGAAUCCUCUUGACAGAUCCGGAAACCAAUCGAAGAUUGACUCGUUCUAGUUCUAAUCCUAUGUAGCUAUGCUAAUCUAGAUGUCUAAUUGAUGUGGUGGCUCUAAUCUUGAUCAGGGGGUUCUUCUCUCUUGAGGAAUAAUGAAUUAGGGUUGAGAUGCUCUCUCCUCUAGGGGCCAGGGGGUCUGGUUUUAUAGUCUCUUCAAAGGAAUAUGGGCCGUUGGAUCAAACCGACAUUGAUUGAACGGUUAUCCUUGAUCCUUUAGGUCGGUGGAGAUCUUUUCCGAGAGAGAGUCCUGAUUGGACUCAGAGAGGGGGCGGGCACCCAGGGCAACUGGGCGGGCACCCAGUGCCUGGCCCCGUUCGGCCUCCGCUUCCUUCCCGUGGCUUCUGGAGUCAGAAGAUGUAAGAUAAUUGCGCGGCACGUUGAUAUCUCUAUGUAAUCCCGAUGUGUGGGUCUUCUUCCUUAUUUCCUGAUAACCCCCUGCAGAAAUAGACAAACACCAAAACUCAUGGAAUUCUGUCAGAUAAAACCCUAAGUCUAGAUGUUUAUUUUAUUUGGAUCCUUUUCUUUGUUUAUUUGUUAAUUAAAUUUGAUACUUAAGGACCGUCAACAAGCACAAACACAAUGAGCAAGAUACUGCCAACGUCGCACUUCGAACUGCUGGGCAAACGAAGAACAUGGGUGAUACCGUAUCAAGAGGUGCAGACAUCAAGGUCCACACCUAAAUCAAAUAACGCACCUAAAGAAUGAACACGGUGAGAAGUCUUGUUCAGAAGACUUAAAACAUUGAACCCUCGCCGAAAGGUAAAAUCGGUAGUUAUCUAUAUUUAUCCUUUCUGCAUUCCCUUUUUCCUUAAAUUAUUUACUUUCUUUAGAUAGCUUGUUAGUUAAUCAUGCUAUCUUGAAAAGAAAUCAAAAAUAUUAAAAAUAGUAAGCCCCAUGUGAGUAUGCUCGUGGCAUAAAACCCAUAAGUACAUUCACUGUGGUGGCGUGAAAAUAAAAUAAAUAUAUUCCUGUCCUAUAGUAAUAAAAAUAUAAAAUUAAAUUUAUGAUCCUACAAAAGAGAGUAAUAUUUAUUAGAGGAAGCUCAAUAUGAUAAAGGCAAGGAGAUUUUAUGCUAACACUUAUCCAGUUCCACAAAGCUUUGUUAUCUAUUUGAGCUCCACAGAAUUCAAGGAUCGAAGAAGACAAGCAGACGAAGGACAUCCUAAUCGCUGUCAAGGUGCUGCCGACAUUCAAAUACACCUCCGCCACUUGCUAGCUACAUCAAAAGAAAUUACGUCAAAAAUCCAGCUUGGGGGAGAGCACCCCCAUUUAUCCAGCUAAGUGUUUAUAUUCGCGUUUAUACUUUCCUCCAAUAAUAAAAAGAUGCAUAAUCAUAAAAACCCAAAUAAAGAUUUUAUGCUUAUAUAUAUCUUUGCUUAGUUUGCUAAAUAAAUAAAUAAAUAAAGUUUGCUACGAACCCUCAUGAUAAGCUCUCACAUGGAAAUGAUGAAUAGUUGCUCUACCAUGACUAGUUCACAAAAUUGAAUUUUCUCUCAAGUUUAAGCAUGACUGUUAUGAAUUAAUAUUUGCUCUAAACCGGAACAUGUGGGAAGAGUACUUGAUCUAAAGUCUAAGUUGUUAACAGAUAUGAUAUGGGAAGGUUGAGCUUCUAUUUAUCUGUUCCUAGAGAUGCUAGAAUUCUGGAGAAUUUUAUCUUUCAAAAUAUUUAAAAUGUUGCAUGAUGAGUUCCUGUAUGAUGAGAGUUUAAAAUCCUACCACAGCCAUAUAUAUACAUGAUUAUUAGACUAUGAACCAUAUAUUUACUUUUUACUACUUAUGAGCAUUAAGUGUCACUACUAGGGAUCUGCUCAUCAAUGACAAUACUCUUUCGUCAGUGAAGACUCCAAAUUCGUCACCGAAAGUAAUCUAUGACGAAUUUGUGUAGAUGGUCGCUUACAUCAGGCUGGGACCGCAAUUUUUGAUUAAGACAUCGCGUACAUGGGCAAAGUAUCUGGCUAUCUUUGGGAUAUCUUUCGCUCACAAAUUUCAUGAACUCUUCAACUCCAUUCACAUAUGUAGGUGUGAAUGGUGCCCCAAAAAUCCAGCUUCUAUUCAUCUAUUUAGACAAUAGAAUAAACGUUGUACUCAGUAAACAAACUCAAAUUAUAAUCAUAUUAUAUGUAACAAUUUCCAAAUUAAACACAUGCAUAUAUGUAAAAAUUAAAUGAAAACAAAUUAAAGUUCAUUUGAACAUUAUUGAAAACAAUAAACUAGCACGUGCUUAUAUGAAAAAACAAACAUUGUACUAUGACCCUGCUACAAUAAUAAUUAAUUAAAUAUAACUUUGAAAAAAAUGCUUAUCCUCCUGAAUAAUGGUACUACUAUGAACAGCCCGACAAGACGAAUUUAACGUAAUUUAAAUGAAUUUAACGUAAUAUUUAUUUGAAUAAACCUUGUACAUGCCGAUCCACCGCUCACGCGCCACGCGCAGCUCUGCUCGUCGUUGAUGCUCAGCUCCACAGCACGGCGUCGACCAGCCCACUCGUGUGCGAGCGCGACCAAGACAAACCUCCUCGCGAUGACUUCUGUUGCCGUGGCUAGCCGCCGGGACGCAAAGCUUUCCUUGCCGUGGAUGCCGCACGUCAAUCACUUGAGCCGAGCCCUGGGGACGCACGGCGUCGAUCACCUGAGCCUCAGCCGAGCCCUGAGGUCAGACGGAGUCGAUCACCCAAGCACUGGGGAUCCACCACGGCGUCGAUCACCUGAGCGUGGAGACGCACAACGUCGAUCUCCUGUGGCCGCCGGGUCCAUGCACGCCCUCGCGCGAGGGUUCAAGUCGCGCACGUCGCGACUGCCUUUUGCGUCACGGACAACGGAUCAGUAUGGGUAUAGGGCCCAUGAAGGCGGAUGGAGAAAUAUUAAACAAUUAAGGUUCAAAUAGAAAAUACAUGUGUCAUAUGAAUACAAAAGCUUGAACACUCUGAUGGUUAGAUGUGGGCAUGUCUACUGGUCGUGAGUUCGAAGCUCCUCGGGAGCAACAUUUUGAAGUUUUGUCACAUAUUUUAACUAUACAAAUAAAAAAAUAUACAAGGACAGACCACGAACCAGCUCUUGGUCUAGUGGUAACGCGCCUGUGUCUCCAGCAGGAGGUCGCGGGUUCGAAGCUUCGCAGGAGCAACUUUUUUGCCAAACAAAAAAAAGGAUGGCGAAUUGCAAUGCAUGGCCACGUCAGCGACGCCGAUCCCGCUGGUGGGACCAUGCCACCACGUCAGCGAGGCAGGGACUAGUGGUGGGACCCAGUCGCCUCGUCAACAGGGUUGGGACCCGGAUGUCGGGACCCAUUGGUGGGACAAUGGCGCCAAGUCAACAACACGGGACCCACUGGUGGGACCAUAGCGCCAAGUCAUGCCAAUGGGACCAUGUCACCACGUCAUGACGGUGGGACCUACCUGUGUGGGACCAUGGCCCACCACAUGAUUGUGGGACCCACCUGUGGGACCUGAACGCCACGUCAACUGGGUGGGACCCACCGGUCGGACCAUAGCGCCACGACAAAAAAGUAGGACCCACAGAUGCCACUAAGGUAUCAUGUCAGGACAGUGGGACCUACUAGUGGGACCCACUGGUAUGUCUAGUGUGCUGGAAAGAAAAAAAUGGCGCCAUGUUUUCGAUAGGGUACGUCUAAACAAUCAAUGACGAUUCUGUUUUCCCUUUCUACGACAAUUAUUUCGCUUUCGUCAUAAUUCUUUGGGUCAAAGCACCGUCACUUAUAACUAAUGAUGAAACUGUACCAAUUCAUCAUGGAAUGCUCACUUACUAUGACGAAAAUAUAAUCGUCACUAGAUAAUCGUCAUUGAUGAACACAUUUCUAGUAGUGGUUGUCAUGCGGUUAAAAUCAAGAUUCACUUGCACGUUCACUCAUACAUGCUGCUUCUACUUCGGAAGUACGCAUCCACAUACAUCCACUCAUUUCCAUCUCCACAUUCACCCAAAAUUAUUCUUCUCCUAUCCGGGAGAGAAUUGCCAAAAACAUUAUCCUAUCCAUGUUAUUCCCCGUAAAAUAAAUGCUCAAGAUAUUUUGGUUACUAGAACUUGCUACAUUAUUCCAGGAGGGUGAGUGCUCUGAAAAAAGUGGAAAUGAGGAAAUAAAAAGGGGCAAGUGCCUGGAACCUUGAAGAAAAGAAAAAGCGAGAUGAGAGGUAUAAAUGGACAAGUGUCCGACAGUAGAAUUAGGGGUACAAGAUACCCACCUGAGAGAAAAGAAAAAGAAAAUAUAGAGCAUCUCAUUCCCCUCAAAAAGCUUCAAAGUGCAAGAAAGCUAUGUAUCCCCUCAAAAGAGCAAAAGUAGAAUUAGACUUUCACCAUUGUUUUCACCAUUAUCACCAUCAUAACCAUACACCAUUCUUUCGCCACACAUGCACAUCUUGAUUUGACUUAUUGACUUGUUUCUCAAGAUCCAUGGUUUGACUAUGCAAUAAAUGUCUUGUGAGCAUGUAUUAGCUCUCUCCCACCUAUGAGCUCCAGAUAUUAAAACCUUAUUAGAGUAGGAUGAGAGAGAAGGUAAUGUCACUAUGCCUCAUACCAAAAAUACCACAUACUUUGAGAGAAGGCAUAUACCAUCAUUGCCUUGGUAAGGAUCCAGAAAUACCACAAAAGAGAGAAUUGAGAGAGUCAUACAAGGAAUCUCUGAGUUUUAUUUGAAAAUCUACAAAAACUCCAGAGCUAUAGUUGAUCAAGAACAAGAGACAUGGCGCUUGACUUGACCGUUCUAUCUUUUAACUGCUCAAGACACAAGUGACGGUUGCAAGCUCCAUGGUGGAAGGUAAUAUGAGUAAGUUUAAAUCUUAACAGCUUAUCCUAACCUAGAGAUGAGAUCUUGUUUGAACGCAUGUGUACCCUUAAGGCAUGAAACCACUGCAAAAACACUUGAGUCCAUCCUUGCUGGGGGACGAGCAAGAGGUAAGCUUGGGGGAGUUAUCGACGGUCCUUAAGUAUCAAAUUUAAUCAUCAAAUAAACAAAGAAAAGGAUCCAAAUGCAACUAACACCCAAACUUAGUGUGUUAUCUAAUAGAAUUCCAUGAGUUUUGGUGUCUGUCUAUUUUUGCAGGGGGUUAUCAGGAAACAUGGAGGAAAGGCCCACAUGUCGGGUUUAAAUAUAGAUAUUAACGUGCCGUGCAAUUUUCUAUCAUCUAGAAGACUCCAGAAGCCACGACAACGGACGGGAAGCCGAGCGGGCUCAGGGACAGGGCGCCCGCCCUCCCCCCUUGGGUGCCCGCUGUUGACACCGUUUUUGAACACGUACCCGGGAUCGGUAGAGUAUAGAACGGCAAGAUAAGGCAACCGUAACUGGUCUGCAGGAGAGUUGCCGAUGAGGGUGGUUGCCGAUGAAGGGAUAGUUGAAUGUGACUAAGUCUAUGGGUGGUGAUGUGUUUAUGCCAAUGGUCAGCAUUAACUUGUGCCGAUGACUCAGAAGAAGAACCUGAAGGUUGCCGAUUGGCCUGUGGUGGUGUCCCAGUUUGUCACGGGAUGAUAGUUUUUAUAUUUUACUUAGUUAUUUAAGUCGGUUUGUAUAUGGAUUUUGUUUAAUUUGGAAUUUGAGUUCUAGUCAUGUUUGAUUGUAGCUCUUUGUGUGGAGUAUAAAUGUAGAACCUAGGGCCUUGUAAUAGACAGAAUUAAUCAAUCAAUCAAACACAAGUUUUUACUCAUAUUCUACCAUCUACUUUUCGACGACUUCGUCAUAUUUUUCCUUUUCAUUACGAGUUCUUAGGAGUUCGUCGACUUAAGCUCGGCGUAUUCUCGAGUUCCGCAUGAAUACCUUUUGGCCGUGGCAUCCCGGCAUAUCGCUGUUGUCGGGACCAAAGUAUUCGAGUUAUCACCUUUGCCGAUAGUAAGGUCAAAUCGGCUGGCACGCCUUAACUUUGAACUGGGUAUUAGCCCUUUGUGUUUGCAGAUCCAGCUUUUGCAUCAACACAUCUUUUGGCACGCCCGGUGGGACCAGAUUUGAGAUCAAAAUCGACAUGUCGACUACUGAGUUCGAUUAGGAGAACGUCAUCCCUGUGACGGAAGCCAAUCUUAAAGAUGAGCAGAAGCAAGCUAUUGCAAAAGCCAUGGAGGAUUACAAGCAGCAAUGUUUGAGGUCCUUCAGCAUCAACAGGAGCGGCAAAGUAAUCCAGAAGGAAGCGCUGCCGAUGCCUCGGCAGGUUACUUUUGAUGCCAAUCCUGGUAAACUUCAAGAAAUGGUUGAUAAUGCUAUUAACCGUGCCUUGAUCAAUCAAGCUGGUGUGCUGUCCAAUACGGUAUUCAAUGCCGUGGCUAGAACAUUCAAGGAAGGACAAUUGCCACCCAAUUAUAUGGGCCCUUCUCAUCAUCAGCUAGGAUCACCGGUGGUCACAGCUCCAUCGGCUGCUACAGUAGCUGCGGGUACAGAAACUACUGUUCUUCCAAGCACGUUAGGAGUAACUAAUGCACAAUCUACGCCGAUGACGACCAAUCCAUCGACUUCAGAUGGGCAGAUCAAGCUUGCUACAUAUCUAUUGGCAUGAGCAAUGUCGGGAUCCGUUCCUCCUAAUUGGUGGGGUUUUGGUAUGCCUCUAGAAUACUUGUUGAAGACACCUGGCACGUCUCAGAUGGCUGAUGUGAGAGACAAGGCUCCUAUGACAUAGGCACCUCCAAAUAUGCCGAUGAAUCAGAGUCCCCAGUAUACUACUAUUGACACUUGCUAACCCCACUUGAAUACUAGGUUGUCAUCCCCAGCAUGGCACUAGAGUGUACUAUGGUAUUUAUAUGCACACAGAUAAUCUGCAAGCGCACGGAUACCAUUGAAGCUUUUACCCGGUUAAAGGUUUUAUCGUAUCCAUAGGGAAACGGGAGAACUGAUCUACGCUCUAACUUAACCAAGAUAAGUAAAUAGGUGUGAAUAGGAAAGAUGGUAGAAUCGAAUAAGAACAAUAUUAAAGGUAAGAUAACUGUGAGUGAUAAUAUGGGAAUAGAGAGUAGAGCAAUUCUAGUAUAUGGGCGAUGGUAGCAGAACAGAGAGGAUAACUAUGGUUUCUCUACUUCAAAGGGGUAUGUCUAUGUCUGGGACGAACCACGUGAUAAGAGUACACCACAAAGGAUGCUUAUCCAUAGGCCGAUAAACCCUACCUGUCCAGCUAACGAGAGGUGGACUACAGGGGACCAACGUAACUGUCACCUACGCGGCCUACCACACGAUCCAGCUAGUCAGGGGAUAUCCACAAGUAAUCUAGGUCUAAGCACCACACUUACACCUAUACUACAACUCUAACCUAUAGGGUCCUAUAGAUUAGAAGUACUCAAAAGAGUUGUGAACCAGAACAUACAUGAUUAGUAAUUGCAUAAUGAAUUAGAAGUAGAUUACCAGAGUCAUCCCAUGAGCAAGCUUGAUUAGAGCUUGAUCAUGGCGAAGUACAACCGGAGGAAGAACCGACAGGCCGACCUCUCCUCUAAUCCUCCUUCGCUCUCCAUCUCGCUACUAUCUAGAUCUACUCUAGUUUAGAGAAGAGAGGAGAGCUCUCAUCUAUAAACCCUAGCUUUUGCUCUGUCUAUGAAUAAUGAAUAAUGAUCAAGGGGGGUGCCUCCUCCAGGGGUCAGGGGGUCUGGUUUUAUAGUCCCCUCAAGUGAACCUGGGCCGUCGGAUCAAACCGACAUUGAUUGAACGGUUAUUCUUGAUCCUUUAGGUCGGUGGAGCAUAAUCGUGAGAUUGAGCGUGAUUGGCCCAAAAAGGUGGGCGGGCGCCCUAAGGACUUGGGCGGGCGCCCUGUCCCUGACUCCGUUCGGUCUCCGCUUCCUUCCCGUGGCUUCUGGAGUCUUUUAGAUGUAAGAUAAUUGCGCCGCACGUUGAUAUCUCUAUGCAAUCCCGACGUGUGGGCCUUUCUUCCUUAUUUCCUGAUAACCCCCUGCAGAAAUAGACAAACACCAAAACUCAUGGAAUUCUGUCAGAUAAAACCCUAAGUCUCGAUGUUGAUUUCAUUUGGAUCCUUUUCUUUGUCUAUUUGAUAGUUAAAUUUGAUACUUAAGGACCGUCAACAAACUCCCCCAAGCUUACCUCUUGCUCGUCCCUGAGCAAGGAUAGACUCAGCUAUGGAUCAUAAGUUGUUGCAAUAUCUUUAAAAAUUGACGGUACACAUGCUUUUAAAUGAGGUCUUAUCUCUGAGUUAGAGUGAACUGUCAAGACUUAAAACUUACUUACUUUACCUUUCAACAUGGGACUUGUAACCUUCACUUCUGUCUUGAGUGGUUAAAAAAUAGAACAGUCCAGUCAAGUGCCAUGUCGCUUAUUCUUGAUCAGCUAUAGCUCUGGAGUUUUUGCAAAUUUCUAAAUAAAACUCAGAGAUUCCUUUGUAUGACUCUCUCAUAUCUCUCUUUUGUGGUAUUUCUGGAUCCUUACCAAGGCAGUGAUGGUAUAUGCCUUCUCUCAAAAUAUGUGGUAUUUGUGGUAUAAGGGAUAGUGACAUUGUCUUCUCUCUCACCCUACUCUAAUAAGGCUUUAAUAUCUGGAGCUCAUAGGUGGGAGAUAAAAUAUACAUACUUACAAGACAUUUAUUGUAUAGUCAAACCAUAGAUCCAAAGAAACAAAUCAAUAAGCCCAAUCAAGAUGUGCAUGUGUGGUGAAUGAAUAGUGUAUGGUGAUGAUGGUGAUAACAAUGGUGAAAGUCUAAUUCUACUUUUGCUCUUUUGAGGGGAUACAUACCUUCCUUGCUUUUUGAAACUUUAUGAGGAGAAUGAGAUGCUCUUCUUUUUCUUUUCUCUCAGAUGGGUAUCCUGUACCCCUAAUUCUAUUGUCGGACACUUGUCCAUUUUUACCUCUCGUCUCACUCUUUUUCUUUUCUUUCGAGGUUCCGGGCACUUGCCCCUUUUUAUUUGCUCAUUUAUUUUUUUUUGUUUUCUCUUUUUUUUUCUUCUUUUUUUUUCAGAGCACUCAUCUCUUAAGAUAAUAUAGCAAGUGGUAGUAGCAAGAUAACUUGAGCAUUUAUUUCACAAGGGAAAAACACAGAUGUUUUUGGCUAUUCUCUCCCGAAUUAGGAGUAGAAUAUUUUUAGGUGAUUUUGGAGAUGGAAAUGGAUGGAUAUAUGUGGAUGGUACUUCCGGAGUAGAAGUAGCAUAUAUAUGAGUGAACGUGCAAGUGAAUCUUGAUUUAACCACAUGACAAGCUCCUAAGGGUCUACACAGCUUGACCACACUCAAUGCUCAUAAGCAGUAAAUAAUAAAUGUGUGGCUCAAAGUCUAGCAAGCAUGUAUAUAUGGCUGUGGUAGGAAUUUAAACUUUUAUCAUACAGGAAAUCAUCAUGCAACAUUUUAAAGAUUUUUCAAAGAUAAAAUUCUCCAGAAUUCUAGCAUCUCUAGGAAUAGAUAAACAGCAGCUCAACCUUCCCAUAUCAUAUCCGUUAACAACUUAGAUUUCAGAUCAAGUUUUCAUCCCACAAGUUUAGAUCUAGAGCAAGCUUUAAAUUAUAACAGUUAUGUCUAAACUUGAGAGAGAACUUCAAAUUUGCAAAUUAGGCAGAGCAACUAUUCAUCAUAUCCAUGCUAGAGUUUUAUUAUUAAGAUUCAGAUUAGCAUAGUCACUUUAUUUAUUUAUUAAACACGCUAAGCAAAAGAUAUAUAUAUAAGCACAAAAUCUUUAUUUGGUUUUUCAUAGUUUAUGUAUUUUAAUAUUCUAAUAUAAUAUUGGUAUAAAGAUAGGUAGAAAUACUUAGCGAGAUAAAUGGGGGUGCUCUCCCCCAAGCUGAAUUUUGACGUAAUUUCUCUUAAUGUAGCUAGCAGGUGGCAGAGGUGUAUUUGAAAGUCAGCAGCAUUCUGACAGCGAUUAGAAUGUCCUCCGUCUGCUAGUCUUCUUGAUUCUUAAAUUCUGUGGAGCUCAAAUAGAUAACAAAGCUUGUGGAACUAAUUAAGUGUUAGCAUAAAUAUCUAGCCUUCAUCACGUUGAGCUUCGUCAAUAAAUAUUACUCCCUGUUUUUAUAUUUUUAUUUUAUAAAGUAGAAAAGAAAUAUUUAUUUUAUUUUUAUGCCACCACAGUGAAGGUACUUAUGGGUUUUAUGCCACUCGUAUACUCACAUGGGGCUUAGUAUUUUUUAACAUUUUUAUUUUCUUUUCAAGAUAGCAUGAUUAACUAAUAAUCUAUUUAAGGAAAGUAAAUAAUUAAAUGGAAAAGGGAAUGCAGAAAGGAUAAAUAUGGAUAACUACCAAUCUUACCUUUCGGCGAGGGUUCAAUGUUUUAAGUCUUCUUGUCAAGACUUCUCAUCGUGUUCAUUCUUCAGGUGCGUCAUUUGAUUCAGGUGCGGACCUUGACGUCUGCACCUUUUAAUACGGUGUCACCCAUGUUCUUCGUUUGCCCAGCAGUUCGAAGUGCGGUGUUAGCAGUAUCUUGCUCAGUGUGUUUGUGCUCGUAGUGUACCUGCUCAUAGAGACAAGGCAGAGAUCAAGUGCAUGGGCCCUGUAGGUGGAAAACACCAACAGAACCAAAAGUGUAUUUGUUCUUCUAUAACCUUAAGCAUAGUGCGCAAGACAAGUUGAUGGAUGAUAAGUUCAUGAGUGUAGUACUUAUAACAUUUGUCAGAUCAGAUCGCUCAACCUUAUGGAAAGAUAAUCUAUCUAUGCAUAUGUCUUUUUCUUUAUAUCUCUCAAUGAUUGAAUGUGUAACAUUUUAACUCAUAUGAUUAGGAGUGUGGGAUCAUGGAGGUAGUACUAAGAACAAGGAUUAAAGGACUAAACAUGUUGAAUCAGUUGGGUUGGUUAAUCUAGAGUUGUAAAUCAUACACGUUUGUCUCUUUUAUUUAUAUGAACGCCAGAACCAAGGAGAAGCUUAUAAAAGUGAUAGUCAAGUACCUUAAGAUGUUACCUUGCUCGAAGAGUGAUGGUACAGUAUCAUCUUGUGGAAGCUUUCCUUUCAUUGCGGUUGUGCGUCGUGUUUGUGGCACCCUCCAUGGAUCAUCUCUCUAUGAUGCAUGAGCUAUGUCCUUCUUGUGCAGAUUGUUAAACUUCAUGUGUCACUCUCUUCAUCUCUGAUGUGAGUUUAUCUCAGGACUUCCCAAAUCGAUAUUGAGAGUUUUUCUGCAGGGGUUAGUCCGACAAAAUAUACCAAUAUCUACUCAAGCAGUUUUUUUUAGUUCAAUAACCAAACUAGACUCCAUGUCUAAUCAGAUUAAGGAAGGCUAUUUAACCUAAGCACCAUGCUUAAUUUAAAUGCCAAUGGAAGUAUGGCGAGUACUUCCAAACCAACACUUGCUAGUAAAUAGACAAAGGUAGCAUGACAGCGUUUAUAGAGAUCUACUCAAGUGGAGAUGAAGUAGUGUGAUUAGUAUUUAACAAAUUGAGCAUGUCUCAAAGGUAGGGACAACCAGCAUAGCAACAUGGCAAAGGAUGUUUUUAUGUAAAGUACUCCCCCAAGCUUGAAUUUUUGCAAAAUUCAAGUUUGGAUGAAUUUAAUUCAAUGUUGUAUGAUGAUUGGUUGGACAUACCUUGUGCUUGUCAUUCAUCCGAUCUUCUUGCUCCAAUCUUAGAAAGGUUAGUGACAAGAAUACCCGAAGGAAAAUUUUUUUUAGAAUUAUCCUUAUAUGCUCAAUACACAAGGUAAUGUUGCAAAUAAUUAAAGGCUCAUGUUACGAUCUGAUCAAUGCUUAUUUUAAGACACUAAGCUUGUCCUUAGGAAACCAUCAGUUUAUGUUGGCGAAGUGGUUUCCCCUCCGAUGCCAACCUAUAUCUAGAUCAACUCAACGAGAUCUGCAAUAUUUAUUAUAGACAUAUGCAUCGACAACUGCCCUUUUAAAGUUUUUAUAAAUAGAAAGGAAGAGGGGGUUGGAGAUCUCAAGUAUGGUGAUGUCGGAGAGACCAAUAGAUUGGGAAGAUGUUGCAUAUGAGCAUGGAGUAAAUGAAGUGGCUAUGAAAUAAAUUCCAUGCUCAUUAAUGUUAUCUUCGUCUCUAAUCUGAAUGUUCGGAGUUUCUCCUGGAUUGGCCUCACCUAUGUCCUCUUCUGUAGUUGGAUGAAUCUCAUCUUCAAAGGGAGUCAAGAACUCACCAUUUGAAAUUGAGCCAAAGUCAGAACCUAUUAAGGCUUCUUCCUUAUCCAUCCAUUCUACACAUUCUAGCCAUUUAGAACUUGUGAUCAUAGGGGAGGUGUUAGAAUUUUCUAUAUGGCUUAGCUCUCCUUCUAUGGCAUUACUUGACAUGCCAUCCUUAUGGUCUUCAUGACUCCUAUGGUUUGGUCGUCUUGGUGAAUUGCUAGGAUCAUCAUGAGACUGAAAAGAAGAGGGAUAAGAGGGAUCUCUAAGGUCAAGGAUGGAUUUAGAACUUGUGAACAUGGAAGGGGAGUAGAUAGAAUUGUCUAUAUGGCUUAGCUCUCCUUCACUUGAUAUGUCAUCCUCGACUUCUUCAUGAUAGGAACCAGGACAUUCUCUAAGAGAAACAUUAUUGCAAUGAUUUGAAUUAUCCCUGCUUGAAGGUCUCUUAUAGAACCAGAAGUCUAAACCAUCAGCAUCUAAAAGAUUUAAGGUCGGAAUUCCUUCCUCCCUUGGAGAAUUUUGGGGUAUUGAUGGUUUAGGAUCAAUAGCUAAAGUUUGGGAUUGAAGUGGUUGUGAUCUGGCUAUCGAAACUUCUUCUUCUUGUCUAGGAACUGGUUCUUUCUCUUUCUCAGGGAUAUAAAAGCUAGGAGACUUUCCUCUCAUUAAAUCAAUCAAAUUCCAAGCUUCACUAGCGGAUAGGUGGUGGAAAGAUCCUCCAGAGGCCGCAUGAAGGGUUUGCUUAUUUUUCCUACUAAGGCCCUCAAAAAAGUGAAUUAGAAGAACUUCUUCUGGAAUAGAAAUUUUUGGGCCAGUGAGAGUAAGGUUAAUAAAGCGGUCCCAUGAUUUGCCAAGAGAUUCUUCUUCCAGUUGUCUAAAAGAAAGAAUCUCACGCCGAAGUUCCACCACUUUGGAGAUUGGAAAAUAUUUAGAAAGAAAACUACUAUAUAACUCCUUCCAAUCUCCAUAAACACUCCCUACUUUGAGUUUAUACCAAUGUCUAGCUUUUCCCGUUAAAGAGAACGGAAAGAGCUUCCAUUUAAGGGUCUCAUCGGACAUGCCUUCUAUGCGAAGGAGGUCACAGACUCGAUAAAACUCUCUUAGGUGUGUGUAUGGGUUUUCCUCACCUUUUCCUGAGAAAGGUUGUUUUUGAAUAAAUUCUAUGUAUUCGGGGUCUAUCUCAAAACUAGAUGCUAUGAUAGGCUUUGAAGAUUUUGGUGGUUCGAGAUGUGUGCCCAUAGGUCUAUGAAAUUCAUAGAUAAACAUGUUUGAAUUCAUAAUAGACCAGAGAUCAAGGAUUAGAUAAGAAGAAAGAAUAGCAGAGAUGAGGCAAAGGAUAAAAGGAAAAUUUUUUUAUUUUUUUAUUUAUUUUUUAUAAAAUGAUUAAACUAGUUUGUAGUCAACUCAGCAACCGUUUCCCCGGCAACGGCGCCAAAAAUGCUUGUUGACACUUGCUAACACCACUUGAAUACUAGGUUGUCAUCCCCAGCAUGGCACUAGAGUGUACUAUGGUAUUUAUACGCACACAGAUAAUCCGCAAGCGCACGGAUACCGUUGAAGCUUUUACCCGGUUAAAGGUUUUAUCGUAUCCACAGGGAAACGGGAGAACUGAUCUACGCUCUAACUUAACCAAGAUAAGUAAAUAGGUGUGAAUAGGAAAGAUGGUAGAAUCGAAUAAGAACAAUAUUAAAGGUAAGAUAACAGUGAGUGAUAAUAUGGGAAUAGAGAGUAGAGCAAUUCUAGUAUAUGGGCGAUGGUAGCAGAAUAGGGAGGAUAACUAUGGUUUCUCUACUUCAAAGGGGUAUGUCUAUGUCUGGGAAGAACCACGUGAUAAGAGUACACCACAAAGGAUGCUUAUCCAUAGGCCGAUAAACCCUACCUGUCCUGCUAACGAGAGGUGGACUACAGGGGACCAACGUAACUGUCACCUACGCGGCCUACCACACGAUCCAGCUAGUCAGGGGAUAUCCACAAGUAAUCUAGGUCUAAGCACCACACUUACACCUAUACUACAACUCUAACCUAUAGGGUCCUAUAGAUUAGAAGUACUCAAAAGAGUUGUGAACCAGAACAUACAUGAUUAGUAAUUGCAUAAUGAAUUAGAAGUAGAUUACCAGAGUCAUCCCAUGAGCAAGCUUGAUUAGAGCUUGAUCAUGGCGAAGUACAACCGGAGGAAGAACCGACAGGCCAGCCUCUCCUCUAAUCCUCCUUCGCUCUCCAUCUCGCUACUAUCUAGAUCUACUCUAGUUUAGAGAAGAGAGGAGAGCUCUCAUCUCUAAACCCUAGCUUUUGCUCUGUCUAUGAAUAAUGAAUAAUGAUCAAGGGGGGUGCCUCCUCCAGGGGCCAGGGGGUCUGGUUUUAUAGUCCCCUCAAGUGAACCUGGGCCGUCGGAUCAAACCGACAUUGAUUGAACGGUUAUUCUUGAUCCUUUAGGUUGGUGGAGCAUAAUCCGCGAGAUUGAGCGUGAUUGGCCGAAAAAGGUGGGCGGGCGCCCUAAGGACUUGGGCGGGCGCCCUGUCCCUGACUCCGUUCGGUCUCCGCUUCCUUCCCGUGGCUUCUGGAGUCUUCUAGAUGUAAGAUAAUUGUGCGGCACGUUGAUAUCUCUAUGUAAUCCCGACGUGUGGGCCUUUCUUCCUUAUUUCCUGAUAACCCCCUGCAGAAAUAGACAAACACCAAAACUCGUGGAAUUCUGUCAGAUAAAACCCUAAGUCUCGAUGUUGAUUUCAUUUGGAUCCUUUUCUUUGUUUAUUUGAUAGUUAAAUUUGAUACUUAAGGACCGUCAACAACUACAACCACUACUGCAACGCAUCGGCAGAUUCAAUGCUGACGCAAUAGAGGUUUAUAACUCAGCCAGGGUAUGUCAAUUCGAUGAUGAUGCCCACUUACCAGUCAUCGGCAGGUCCUAUGCAGAUGAAUGCUAAUAGUGGAUGGCCUGAGGAGUAAGUUUUUCCACAAAUGUCCCAACAGAAUCAUCAGGCUACAGGGUUCCAACAAGGCCAGAUCUACCCUGGAUUCCAGAACUAAGGGUUGGUCAAUCAGCCGAUGAAUCUCGGCCAGCAGAUCGGUGGUCAGCAGUUUGGUGGUCCACAUCUUGGUGGUCAACAGAUCGGCGGUCAGCAGAUUGUUGGCCAAAUGAUUAACCUAAUGUACCAUGUAGAUCGUGCACCGCACAGGCACGUGGAAGCCCAUCCGCAGGUGACAGAUCCACUACCGCCUCAUCGGCAAGAUGCCGAUGCUUAUUGGGCCGAUAAGAUUGCUGAAGUAAUGAGAGAUCAAUUUGGGAUAAAACCCAAAGUCAACACUUACUCUUAUCGAACACCGUAUCCUCCUGCAUAUGAUUUGAUUCCGCUUCCAAAUCGGUACAAAGUACCGGAUUUCACUAAGUUUUUUGGUCAGGAUGAAACAUCAACUAUGCAGCAUGUCAACAGGUUCAUCAUUCAGUGUGGAGAAGCUGCUAACAGGGACGAGUUGAGGGUUCCCUUGUUCUCAUCAUCAUUGUAUGGAUCGGCUUUCACUUGGUUCAUAUCAUUACCUCCCAAUUCAGUGAUUACUUGGGCCGAUCUAGAGAAGCAAUUCCAUAACUACUUCUUUUAUGGGGUCCAUGAGAAGAAGAUCACCGAUUUGGUCAAGUUGAAGCAACACAACGAUGAAUCGGUUGAGAGCUUUGUGCAGUGGAUACGGGAGGUCAAGAACAAAUGCUAUAGUAUGGUUUUGGACGAUCGUCAGCUAGCCGAUUUGGCUUUCCAGGGAUUGUUGCCGCACAUCAGGGACAAAUAUGCUUCUCAGGAGUUCGAAAGCUUAAGUCAUUUGGUGCAGAGAAUUUCUGAUCAAGAUAUCAGGCCUUUUGAGCCCAAGAGAGCAUGGAACAAGAAGGUAUCAUUUGUGGAUGAAGCAGCAAGCUCGAACUCUGAUAAGGAACCCGUCAUCGGCUUGGCAGAAUGGGUAAAAAAUAAGAAGCCGAUGUCUUGCCCUUUUGGGCAUAAAGAGCCAGAGAAGUUCGCGUUUUAUAUCACUAAAGCCGAUAGGAUAUUUGACUUUCUACUUCAGGAAGGCCAAAUCAAGCUGUCACCCAAUCAUGUAAUCCCAUCGGCUGAAGAGUUGAAGAAGAUGAAAUAUUGCAAGUGGCACAAUGCAACUUCUCACAGCACCAAUGAGUGCAAAGUUUUCAAGCAACAGCUGCAAUCGGGUAUUGAGUCCGGGAGAAUCAAAUUUGAUAGUUCCAAAGCCCAGAAGCCGAUGAAGAUCGAUCAACACCCUUUUCCGACAAACAUGCUGGAUGCUAAGGGAAAGGCAAAGGUCUUGACAUCAGAAGCGGCUGAGAAAAGUGCAUCGGUGGAUCCUCAACAUCAAAUCACUACUGCCGAUGCAAAAGGAAAGGGCUUAGUCCAGGAAGGAAAUAGCUCAGGAAGGCCACCCCGAUCUAGUAUUGUCAUAACUCAUAGGAGACCUCGGGAGACUUGGCAGCAACGUGAAGAUCGGUAUCGGCGCCAGCAAGAAGACUAUCAUCAGGAAGAAGAAAGACGCCGACAAGUGUGGAAUCGGCAUAGGGAUCACUGGAAUUGUCCGUUCUUCAUCCAUUGUUGGGAGGAAAAUAUCAAGCUUCCUACUGUGAGAGACUGCCUGGAAUGUAAUGGUUAUGAUCGGUAUGACAGAUCAAAUCGGCAGUAUCAGAACAAUAACCGCCAGUUUGAUGGGCCGAUUAGGGGGAGAGCGACCGUUCAUGAUCGACUAGGGGGCAGGCUCAGUGUGCACGACAGGUUUGGUGAUCGUGUUGAAUAUUUUCCCAAGAACCGGGAAGAACUUGAAGAGAUGGCUAAUGCACGGGUUCCCGAUGAGUUCAUAUUUUGUAGGGAUGCCAAUUCUUAUUGGAUGGAGUCAAGGGAAAGUCGUCGCCCAUCGGUAAGGCAGCAACAGCUUCCUCCAUGGUAUCCAUAGGGGUUCACUAGGACACAGAAACGGAGGCUGCAGCGCGAAAGACAAGAAGAGUUGAGCAAGGGCGAGAACUCUGGCCAGUCUGGGGAUCAGCAACAAUCAUAUCCUAAAGGAAAAGGUCCAUCGGCAGAUGUUAACAUGGUAUUUAUGUUGCCGAUGGAAUUCCUUGCGCCGUCCAGUGAUGAUGAGUUAGAGUUUUCUGACCAAAUAUCUCAGUUGGCUCUAGAUCCGAUGACAGCCAUCUUCGAAAAGCCUGCCGAUGAUGAAAGGCAACAUCUUAAAGCUCUGUUUGUCAAAGGAAGAGUGGAUGGUCAACCGAUGACCAAGAUUCUAAUUGAUGGUGGAGCUGCUAUUAAUAUCAUGCCAUAUGCAGUGUAUCAGAAGUUUGGAAAAGGAGAUUAGGAUUUGACCAAGACCGAUAUGAAGCUCAAAGAUUUUGAAGGGAAUGUGUCUCCGGUUAAGGGAGCCAUCUGUGUUGAGUUGACCAUCGGCAGCAAAACCUUGCUGACAACUUUCUUCGUGAUCAGUGGGAAAGGUGCUUACAAUCUGUUGCUAGGGAGAGAUUGGAUUCAUGCCAAUUGUUGCAUCCCGUCUACAAUGCACCAAUGCUUGUUUCAGUGGGUAGGUGACAAGAUUGAGAUUGUCCCGGGAGAUUCUUCUUAUGUCAUUGCAUCGGCAGAGGCAGACACCUAUGAAAGAACUAGGUGUAUCUCAGGAGAGAUUUGGGACAAGGAUUUUCUCAUAGUUGCCAAUUAUGAAAUUCGACCGAUCCAAGCAGUCGGUUGUGAUGAAGGUUUUUAAUGGAUAGGUUCGCCGAUGAUGGAAAAUUAGGCUAGGGGUUCACAUCGGCCGAUGAUUUAGUAGAAGUAGAUAUAGGUAGUGGUGAUAAACCUAGGCCUACUUUUAUUAGUGCUAAGUUAAAUUCUGAGUGUAAGCAGCAGUUAACUGAUUUGUUAAAGGAAUAUAAAGAUUGCUUUGCUUGGGAUUAUACUGAGAUGCCUGGUUUAGACCGAUCAAUUGUUGAACAUCGGUUGCCUAUCAAGUCUAGAUUUCGGCCACAUCAGCAACCAGCUCGCCGAUGUAAUCCUAAUAUUCUUUCUGAUAUCAAGGCCAAAAUAACUAAACUUAUUGAAGCUAAAUUUAUUCGGCAGUGUCGAUAUGCCGAGUGGAUUCCCAAUGUUGUUAUAGUCUAUAAGAAAAAUGGGAAGCUUCGGGUCUGUAUUGAUUUCAGGAAUCUUAAUAAAGCUACGCCGGUGGAUGGCUACCCAAUGCCGAUUGCCGACUUACUAGUUGAUGCUACGGUUGGGCAUCGGAUUAUCAACUUUAUGGAUGGCAAUGCAGGAUACAAUCAGAUAUUCAUGGCUGAAGAAGAUAUUCCAAAAACUGCAUUUAGAUGUCCUGGUCAUGUUUGGUUGUUUGAAUGGAUAGUCAUGACCUUUGGCUUGAAAAAUGCUGGUGCCACUUAUCAGAGGGCUAUGAAUUUUAUAUUUCAUGAGUUCAUCGGCAAGCUGGUGGAAAUUUAUAUUGAUGAUGUGGUGGUUAAGUCUGGAGACUUCACAAAGCAUCUUGCUGAUUUGCGAAAGGUGUUGGAAUGCACAAGGAAGCAUGGUUUAAAGAUGAAUCCCAAUAAGUGUGCAUUUGGUGUAUCGGCAGAACAAUUUCUUGGUUUCAUGGUGCAUCAAAGGGGGAUUGAAAUUAUUCGGAGAUCCAUUGAUGCUAUCAACAAAAUAGUUGCCCCUACCAUCAAGACUGAGCUCCAAUCCUUGAUCGGCAAGGUAAAUUUUAUCAGGAGGUUUAUAUCUAAUUUGUCUGGUAAAAUUCAUACUUUCAGUCCUUUACUUAAGUUGAAAGCCGAUCAAGAGUUUGUCUGGGGAAAGAGUAACAAUUGGCCUUGGAUGAAAUCAAGAAUUAUUUGGUAAAUCCUCCAGUUCUGAUUCCACCUCAGCAAGGGAAGCCCUUCAGAUUGUAUUUAUCUACCGAUGGGAUGGUCAUCGGUUUGGCUUUAAUUCAAGAAUUUGAAGGGAAGGAACGUGUGAUUUAUUAUUUAAGCAGGAGAUUGGUUGAUGCUGAAACCAGGUACUCGGCCAUUGAAAAGUUAUGUUUGUGUCUUUAUUUCUCACGUAUUAAGUUAAGACACUAUUUGUUAUCGGCCGAAUGCACUGUCACAUGCAAAGAUGAUGUGGUCCGAUAUAUGCUGUCUAUGCCGAUUAUGAGCGACAGGAUCGGUAAGUGGAUUUUGGCACUGUCGAAAUUCGAUUUGCGUUACGAAUUGGCUAAAGCAGUUAAAGGACCGAUCAUGGCCGAUUUUGUAACUCAGCAUUGCAGUACAGUGGAGACUUUGGAAAUUGUACCUUGGACGCUUUUCUUUGAUGGAUCCACGUGUGAUCGGGGGGCAGGAAUUGGCAUAGUGUUAAUUUCCCCUCGGGGAAGGAGGUACGAGUUUUCCUUGCCGAUUGUUGCCACAUCAACAAUUAAUCAGGCUGAGUAUCAAGCUUUGAUAAAGGGGUUGGAAUUACUAAGGGAAGUUCAUGCUGAUGCUGUUGAAGUCUUCGGAGAUUCUAUGCUGGUUAUAAAUCAAUUGGCUGGAAGCUAUGAAUGUCGAAGCGAAGUUUUGAUAACUUAUCAUGAAAGGAGUAUGCAACUGCUAAAGGAAUUUAGGGAUUUCCGAUUAGAGCAUGUUCCUCGACUGCAUAAUGAAGAGGCCAAUCGGUUGGAUCAGCAUGCCUCGGGAUACCAGCCCAUGAUUAAUGCAAUAUAGGCAAUCGGUGCCGAUGAUUGGAGAAAAGAAAUUAUUGACUAUUUGAAGGAUCCAUCCAAGAAGGUUGAGAGACGUGUUCGGUUUCAAGCUACCAAGUAUGUACUCCUCGAAGAUGAAUUAUAUUACCGAACCAUUGAUGGGAUUCUUCUCAGAUGCUUAGGUAAUGAUGAGGCUAGAAGUUUGAUGAGAGAAAUCAAUGAGGGAGUAUGUGGUGCGCACCAGUUGGCUUUUAAGAUGAAGUGGAUGAUUAGAAGAAACGGGUAUUAUUAGCCGACUAUACUUGAGGAUUGCUUUAAGUAUUUUAAGGGGUGUCAAGGAUGUCAGAAAUUUGGCAAUGUUCAAAGAGCGCUCGCAUCGGCCAUGAAUCCUAUCAUCAAGCCUUGGCCGUUCUAAGGAUGGGCUAUCGAUUUGAUUGGCCAGAUUUAUCCGCCAUCCAGCAAAGGACAUAAGUUUAUUUUGGUUGCCACCGAUUAUUUCACCAAAUUGGUUGAAGCUGUUCCUUUGAAGAAAGUUACAUCGGCUAAUAUGAUUGAUUUUGUGAAAGAGCAUAUUAUUUACCGAUUUGGAAUUCCUCAAACAAUUACUACCGAUCAGGGUACUAUGUUCACAUCGGGGGAGUUUGAUGAAUUUGCGAUCAGUAUGGGAAUUAAAGUAUUGAACUCUUCUCCUUAUUAUGCUCAAGCUAAUGGGCAGGCUGAGGCGUCUAACAAAGGGAUUAUCAAGCUUAUUAAGCGGAAGAUUAAAGAAAACCCUAGGAGGUGGCACACGUUGUUAAAUGAGGCUUUAUGGUCAUACUAGAUGGCUUGUCAUGGAUCGACUAAGGUUUAACCUUAUCAGUUGGUAUAUGGGCAUGAUGCAGUGUUACCUUGGGAAAUUAAGACUGGGUCUAGGCGGUUAUCUUUUCAAGAUCAAUUGGCUGCCGAUGAUUAUGCUACUUUGAUGAUAGACGAGUUGGAUGAUCUAGCGGGACAUCGGCUAAGGGCUUUGAUGAGUAUAUAAGAGAAUAAGAAGAGAGUUGCCAGAUGGUAUGAUAAGAAGGUAAAAGCUAAGGAGUUUGCCGAUGGAGACUUAGUAUGGAAGCUAAUCUUACCGAUCGGGACUAAAAGUUCAAAAUUUGGGAAGUGGUCUCCCAAUUGGGAGGGUCCCUAUCGGGUAAGUCGAUCGGCUCCUGGUAACGCCUAUAUUUUAGAAACUCUUGAAGGAGUUGAGUUUCCCAGAGCAUUAAAUGGCAAAUAUCUAAAGAAGUAUUACCCAAGCAUAUGGGUAGAUGCAUAAAAGUUUAUGUGCCGAUAACAUUCCUAUCGGCUGGAUCAGAAUGUGUCUAGGGUCGGACUUAAUGUUUUAAAAGGGGCCGAUAACAGUCCUAUCGGCUAGACCAAAACAUUAGGAGUGUUCAAAAGAAAGGAGCAAAUAUGUUGCCGAUGAAGAAUUCACAUAUUCAACAGCGCCUGGAUCGCCGAUAUAGCAUGCUGGCGGAUUUGGUUGGCUGCUUCUAUCUCUCUGAUAUCUUCAUCGGCAGAGCCUUGCACCGGCUUCAACCUCUUCUUCAUCUGCAGUGCUUUACGGCCAUGGACAUUUCGCUCUUGUUCAAGGAGUUUGAUCACCUCAGGCAGCUGGUUUUCAUCUUGUUGAGCUUGGGACAAGGCUUCUUCUACUUGCUUGAGUUCUGCCAACAGGGCUUCUCUUUUUGCUGACAGAUCAGAGAUCUUGUGCUUCAACGCAUCUCCUGAGGACUUUAAGAUGCCAAUGUUCUUGUGCUUCUCAUCGGCAAGGAGCUUCACUUUCAUCAUCUCCUCAGAAAGGUGAGUCUGAGUAGCUCUGUCGGCAAGACGCUGGGUGGCCUUUUGAUAUUGCAGCUGACGGCUCUCUAGAUGUGCAGCUUGAAAAAGGAUUUCUUCAGCAUCGUUAGGAAUUUGGCAUCUGAGGGUCUUGAACAAAGCCUUGGCUGGGUGGGAGUCAUCAACCAGUUGGGCUGUGUCUUGAUGAAGGAGGGCUGAUAAUUCUUCUAACUUGGCCCUGAUUUCUGCCGAUGUAAUUCCGACUGCUUGGGAAGAACUUGUCACCUCGCCUUCAUCUUCAGAGAUGUCGAUGGCAAAGGAGCACAAGCUAUCAGGAGAAUCCUGUUCCUGAAAAGGAAAUGAAGUGAGUCAUUCUAUGGUCAAGUGUUGACAAAUAAUACUGAUAAAGAUUGGAUGACUUACUUGUUUCAGAGCAAUCUCUCGCCUCUGACUAGAAGAUGCCGAUGGAACCACAGGCUGAUCGGCUGGGGUUGCCGAUGGGAUUAUGUCAGCUGAAAGAAUAACAGAGAUAAUUAUAAGACAGAGAAAGUAAGUUCAUCGGUAGUGAUUUCAUAGAAAGUGUGUUACCUUGAGGGGGAGCAGUACUUGUUUGGAUGGAAGAAACUACCGACGCUAUAAUUGAACUUGCUGGAUCGGUAGUUUGCUCAUGCACGUCAGUCGAUGUGUCUUCCGGUUGAGCUACUUCUGGCUGGGGUUCUUCUGGUUGGAGUUCUUCCACUUGGGGUGCUUCUUGUGGCUGAGGAAGAGGUGGUACCUGCUGUGUCUGGGUUUCUGGAGAAGAGGGAGAAGAUUCCACUGGGAACGGAGAUACUGGGGGAGGAGAAGGUAUUGCUAUCCUCUGGCACGUUGCUUGUGAUCUGGUGCUCUUGGAACCUUUCCUUUUCGCCUGUCUCGACUGGGGGGCAUCGGCACUUGUGCUUCUGGUCUUUGCCGAUGUGCCGGUAUGCUGUUACAACGAUGGAAAUUCGUGGGUACAAGUGUAAUAGAUGAAAGAAUGAAAUCGAUAUGGAUGAAAAAGUUUAAAAAUUCACCUUGAAGGCCUGUGCUAAGGUAGAGGCUGCUACCGAUGGAGAUGUCUUCAUCCGCUUGGUGGUGACUUUCUUGAGGUGCACACCUCGGUGCAUAUGGAAGCCAAGGUGGGAGCAUUGUUGCCAAUCGAGGAGAUCGGACCUGAUGGAAAAAGAUCAAUCGGCUUGCCACUCCUACUGACCGAUGGUGGUAUGGCGUCAACCUGUAACAUAACACAGAGAGUAAGUUACCAAUGAAAAUGAAAAUGAAAAGAUCGGAACAUCGGUUAUGUGGCACUGUCUAACAUAUAUGCUUAGUAUGUUGAAAAAUAGAACAGUUCUCAAAGCAAAGUCAUCUUCCAAUUUUCAUAUCCUUAGAACUUAGAGUUUUUGAUAACUAUUUUAAAAAAAAGCACGUAGUUCAUCCUUACACCUCUAAUAGUACUCUCAAGUCACUCAGUAAGUAUAGGAUUCCUCUCCAAGGCAUAACAUAAGAUUGCCUUCUUUUGUUUCAUCCUACAUCUAUUAGGCUUAUGUGGGGCUCAGGUAGGGAGAAACAAGAUAGCAUACUUGCAUUGUAUAUAUAUUGUAAAGUCAAAACAAGGAUCCAAGGAGAAGAAUGUCAUAAUCCUAGACCAAGAUGUGUAUUGUGUGAGAAUAGAAUGCUCCUAUAUUUGAUAAGAUCUCUCUCUUUCUCUAUUUUAUUUGAGACAUCGCUAGCUUUUUUUUCUUUUUAUUAUUUUUUUUCUUUUCUCUUUUUUUUCAAAAGCAAUGGACCUUCAUGUGCCCAUUUUUUUACUAAGCAUAGCCUUUGUGUCUCAUCUUAUAACCAAUAUUUAGAGAGCGAUAUUCUAAACCUUAAAACAUGGAGCAUCUAUAUGGUGGAAAUGGAUGGCAUGUUUUUGCAUACUUCCAAUUUAGAAGCAGCAUAUAUAUGAGGUGUGUGUGAUCUUGAUCUUGGGACUAUGACAUAAUUCUCAACUAGGGUCAGAAGGUUUGACUAAACUCAACACAAUUACAAGUAGCAUAUAUAGAAGGGUUUUGAACAAGGUAUGAACAUAUAUGGCUGUGGUAGGAAUUCUCUUACUAUUGAGGAGUAAGUGACACUUUGGUUUUAUGAUAUUUUCAAAAAUAAAUCUCUAGGCACUUUGAAUAGAAAGGGUAUGAAUCAUCAGCUAAGAACUAUAUCGCAAUUGUCAACAACCACGUCAAUAUGAUAUUCCUAUCAACAUAUGUGAUCCAGAAUUAUAAGCAUAUGCAAGAAUUAGACUUUGUGACACAUUUACCCUUUUAAUGUCAUGAAUCAUGUCACACUUUUAAUGUCAUAAAUCAUAGAUCCAAGUCUUCUUGUUUUUAUUUUUGUUUUAUUUUAUCUAAUAAAGCAAACAAGAGACAAAAGCAAUAAAAAUGAAAGAACAGAGGGGGAGUAGGAGUGACAAACCAGUCAGAAGGCAGGUAUACAUUGAGUGGAUGCUGAAUGGUGGGUCUAGGCUCCAAGGUGGGGUCGGCCGACCCCUCUUGGUCUUGCCCAUUGCUGCUAUUUGAAUUCCCAUUGUUGAUGAUGUACCUUUGCAAGCUUUUGUUCCCGUUGGCCGUCAAAGAGGGGGUCGGCCGACACCCUACUUAGGGUAGAAUUUGUCGAGACAACUUGCCUCACCUUGUACUACGUCAUGGUGUGUUUAGGAAAUUCAGAGACUUAGUUGGGGGCCACUUGACCCCCCACACUUGGGUUCUCGAGCAUUCUGAAAUCCAAAGACAUGGGAAACAUCAAGUGCAGGGGUCCUGCUGGUGGCAACACACCAGCGGGACCAAGUUGGGUCAUGGGUAAGUAGCUAAAAUCUUAUCAUCAAUUAAACAGGGAAAUUUCAAUCUUGUGUACCAUGGCAUAGAGCAAUUUUAGUUCAUCAUCUUUUAGAUAGUCAGAAGAACCAGGUAGUAAUCUAGAAAUAAAUUAAGCACAAGGUUGGAUUGUGAAUUUUAGAGGUUAAGAGAGUGGAGCAAUCAUCAAAAUAUACUCUUGUUAAACCCAGGCAUGGUAGUGUCUAAGUCAGUUGUACAAUCAAAGUCACAAACUAGAGCAGUGGUUAGAAGACCCCAAGUACACCUACACUCCUGCCCACACAUGCAAAAUGUUAUGAGUCAAUUUUAGUGUGCAUAAAAAUUCUUUAGUGAGCACUUCUAUACCAAGUUUUUGGCACUCACCAAAAACCACCCAAGCCAAUGGUAUUAAAAUAUCACUGAAUUAUUUAGUCAUACCUGUGCGGUCCACAAGGGCCGGGUCGAGGAUCCUUGCAUGGCAGAAACCACUCUCUUUUAUGUUGUUGAACUUGAUAAGCUCUUCUGAUGUUAAUAUGAGUUCAUUCUUCAGGCUCCAUUGCUCUUGGAGGUGGUUCGUAGAGUACCACUAGAUGGUGACUCUCCCCUUCCUCCAUCAUCUCAUGGCUUCCCUCAUUAGAGUGGUGAGAGCUUUGAGAACAACUCUCACCCCCUUUGGACUUCGCCAGAGGAAUGCUUUCUCCAUUUUCUUGCACAACACACACAACCAAACUUUUUCCUACUUCUACUCCUAUGCAAGACUAAAUAUUUUUUUUGGGUUUUUUUACAACUAUUCUAAUCUUGAGAAAUAACUUGCAACUCACAAUGCAUGGGUAUUUAUAUGGGAAGAAGAGCAAGUGGUGAACACCCGAAUGUGGGGGUCGGCCAACCUCCCCAUAAGCACUAUGUUUCAAAAUUUUGAAUCAUGGCAGGGAAUCUUGCAACAUAUAUGAACUCUUUUCCAGAGAUUGGCCAAUGUAGGGGUCGACCGACCCCUACCCUAAGCACUUUAGCACUCUAAAUGAUGUGGCAUUAAGUGUCUACUAAAGUAAAGCCUAGGCGUGGACAAGAAGUAAAGUUCUUUUAUAAGAUUCUCUUGCCUAGUGCUAUGUGAAAGAGAAAAGAUGAUUUGCAAAAGUGGAGAUAUCCUUAAAGUGGUUGUCAGGGAUCAUGACAGCACUAGAGCACGUCUAGGAGACUACUUUGCAGGUUUAAGCUGGUGCACAGGUCCCAAACAAACCAUUUCUUUUCAGACUUUAGCUUGUGUGUCAUGCAUGGGAUUCUAAAGCAAAGCAAAUGGAAGAUAGCAGAUUGCCAAGAGGGCAAGUCUUGGGGUCUACCGACUCCAACUUGAAAGCUCUAGGAGCAUCCAAGUGCUGACCUCGACAGAUUGCAUUAAGCCUAAGUGAAAUACUGCAAGUGGGCCCAAUGGUGGGGUCGGCCGACCCCACCUCUAGGUGAUCGACAUGUCAAAACUGUAUUGCAAGUUGUUAUCAAGAUUUUUAUUUAUUAUUCCUAAUCAUUUUGUUGAAGGGAAAUAUGCAAAACUAAACUAAGCAUGCAAUUGGAAGGGAAAUGCAUGAAAUGAAAUGCAAUGAGUAAAGAUGGGAUAAGUACUGAUUUACCUUAUCAGCAAGGGCUCCAUGUUUUAGGUCCUUAGAGCAGGACCUCUCCAUCUUGUUUAUUGCUUGGGUGCUUCAGAUGGCUGUGGAGAUAUGGACCACGACUGCACCUCCUCUUGCCACACUUGCCUACCUUUGCCUUGAGGUUCUUGGAGGCAUGGUAUGGUUCUCCUUUAAGCACAAGGGCCUCCAUGGUGACCUCUGGUUUCGCAGCUAGUCUCCCUCAUGAUUUAAGGGGGCCUCACUGAUAAAAUUGAUGACAUUUGUUCUAGUGGCGACCACAAAAGGCUACUCAAGGUAACUCGGGAGGCAUAUAGCGGUCUAGAAGGUGUUGAGUUUGAGACAAGGAGGAUUGGGAUGGACAAGAAGAAGAGGGAAGGCCAAGGAAAGCUAUUGCAAAAGAUUACAAACUUGUUUUCAUAAGAGUUGAAACUUGGAAUAGUUUAUAAGUGCUAGCACGACACUAUAGGUCAGAUUGGGGUACCCAACUAUGGGUCGCCCGACCCCACCUCGGUGGAAACAAAGUUCACACUUCUCCCUCAACUCUCCCUUUCGUAGGACCACUUUCAAGAUACUUGCAUCCUAUCAAGUAGGGGUAGCCCGACCCCUAGUUGUUGGGUAGAGAGCAAGCAAGUUUAGGUCCUACACUUUUUAGGUGACUAGAAGUGGUCUAGCCAAGUUUGAGCAAUAGUGGGUACUAAGUCCAGGUUGCCCGACCCUAGUUUGGAAGUUCUAGAGUGAACGGGUUCUGGGUUUGUACUUCCCCACAUGUUGUAGAUGGUUUGGCCAAACAUAGGCUUGGUUAGCUACUAAGAUGGGGUCGCCCGACCCCAUAAUGGAGGCUCCCCAAGACCAGUUUAGUCUUAAGGCCUAACAUAAGUGUAUUCAUGCUAUCCUACAGGUCAAUCCACACAAAAUAUAUAAAAGAAGUUAAGACAUGUAGAUUUUAGUCUUGUUGAAUAUUUAGUAAGGAUGAGUUCUAGCAUCUCAACUUCUUCUAUCAAGGAUCAAACUCCUAGAAAACUGUUAAGAAGGUGGCCACUUACCUCGAAGAUGAUGAGUCAUAGCAAUGGCCCUUCUUAGUUGCAUCGAAGUUCUCUUUGGCCAAGAAACUUGUCUUCGACCAUGAGGAUCUCAAGUUGUCUCCAUGAAUGAUCUCAUGACUUACCCAUAGAGAGAUCAAUGUUCUUGCUGUAGGGGUUAGUCCAAAAGUGCAACCAAGUUCCAUGUAAGUAUGUUAGGUUCAAUAAUCAAACUUAACACCAUGUCUUGUUUGAUUAAGGUAGUCUAUUUAACCUAAGCUCAAUGAUUAAUUUAAAAAGAUUAUGGAGGUACUCACUCGAGCAACUAGUAUAACCAAACCAAAGCAUACUAACAUAGAAAGAGGGAGCAUGAUAGGAUGAACAAGAUUCAUUAUACUAGAGACAAGAUAUUGAGUGAUGAAGACAAGAGGCAAAUUUUUUUAAUUAUUUUUUAAAAAAUUUUAUAUGCAAGGCAAUGCAAAAUGGAGGAUGAGUGCAUUUAAACAAAUAUGCUGUGGUUAAAAUAAAAAUAAAUGAGUGAUAUGCAUGAACAUCUAGGCUUUAGCUUUUUCCUGUGGCGUGGCCCAUCCAAAGAACAUCAUCAUAGCGACUAUUAAAGCCGAUAUAUGAGCCGGGAUGUUCAGGUUUAACAUUCAACUAUCACAAGCUAGACUAGGAGCCCGAAUAGGUAGACAACAAUACAAUUGUUGUCUAUCUAGACUAGGUAUGAUGCCCGAAUACAACUCAAAGACUAGGAGCUACCCCGCAAGAAAGCACUAGAUUUAUGCAAUAUUAAGCAAACAUGUAGUGGAAAGGAUAAAAAGAAAAGAAAGGUAAAAGAAGGAUAACUCGGACGACUUGGUUCUAAGUUAACCAGCCACCGUUCCCCGGCAACGGCGCCAGGAAUGCUUGUUGACUCUUCUUAGCAUCACUACCUAGGUUUGUUAGUCCUUGGCAUAGCACUAGAAAUGCUUACGUGACAUCAGAAGUGGCAAAUGGUUUUACUGCAAGCGGACGGUGGUCAAUGUAGUACUUCACCAAGAGUAUUCCAGGUAUCGUAUUUUUCACGGGGAACGAGAAGUGGAAUAACUAGACCAAUUCAAUCAUCGGAUGAUGAUCAAAGGGCUUAGGAUUGGGUAGAGAGGUAUUUCUAGUAUUUGGCUUCUGGCUAAGCUAUUCUAAGUAUACUUGAGAGUUAACUCCCUUCCUACUGUAGCUGAUAGGUGAAAAGGGUGUGGCGAAACACUUCCCUAGGCAGCUACCAUGCAGGCCAACUAUUACUUGCAACUUGCCUAACAACACACUAAAGAGAACUCCUAAUGUCCAGCAGAGGCCUGUCAUGCUUCGCUGGUAACAUUCUUCAGGUGCGACAGGAAGUCCACAAGGGCAGACUUAGUCAAGAUACCACGUCUACACUAAUUCUGCUACUCUAGACCCAGCUAAGGUUUCGAGCACUUCACACAAGGCGAAGCAAUGUGCCAGAUAGGCCGGUUGUAUACUUAAAAUAAACUAAGACAUAAAGUAAAUACUGGAAGUACUCAGAUGAAAGGCAACUAGAAUGAAGACUUACUAGAAGAUAAGCAUCCGCUGAGGUGCUCCUCGAAGAAUACUCCCGACAAGCCAGGACUCCUCCUCAGGGAACUCCUCACUCUCUUCCCUCUAUUCUCACACUUAGCUAAGAGUAGCUCUUCCUAAGAUACAUCAUGAUUAACUAGGCUCUCUAAGGGGGUAUUUAUAGGGGGGAGAUGGAGUAGGGGCUACUCCAGCGCCACGUCAGCGAUCCGCGUGACCUCUGGCAUGCACCGUUGGAUAAACCGACCUUGGAACCGCCAUAUGAUCAACGGUUGUGGAUUUCCAUCACAUGUUCAUCAUGGUGACAUCGAUGGGAGUGAACCGACUCAAGAUGGGGCUCACAUGUAGGUCGGUCGACCUGCCCAAUGACAGGUGGGACUGGUGUUGUCUUCUAGAAGGAAUCCCAUGUCAGUUGGUGCAAACCAAGUGGCUGGAUGGCCCCAUAGUUGGGUCGGUCGACCCCUCUUUGGUAGAACCAAAGGUUCAUCUUCUGUAGGUGACUUCCUGGUGAAAUUGUGAGCACAGAGGUGGUGCUAGGCCCACAAUGGUGGGGUCGGCCGACCCUACUAAUGUGCCCAUCUUUUGCACAUUGUCUCCAGAAGCUCUGAGAUUGAUGAAUGUGAAGUUGGUCUUCCAAUUGGCCAUUCUGGGGUGGUAGUCCAACCUUCAUAUAGAGCUUCUUAACCCUAAAAAGUACUCGAUUGCACACCUGCAUCCAAAUGAUGACAUGUACAUGUGAAACCAAGUUAUUUGUACCUACUUCACUAUGUGUUUGGUGAUUUUCUUCCAGAAAGAAUUUAUUGUUGACGGUUUUGAUGGGGUAAAAAUAAGGCUUAUCUACCAUCAACAGUAAUCUACGGCGAUGACCAGAAAUUUUAUCUGCGGACGGGAGUCCUACAACGUUGCAUCACCAUGGAAGAAGGUCGAAAGCUCCUCAAAGAUUUACACUCGGGGGCAUGUGGCCACCAUGCGGCUCCUAGGACCCUUGUUGGCAACUGUUGGGCAUUCUUAACGUCAUCACCAAAAGUAGACUUAAUUUUCUACAUCUGAUAACGGCGCCAAAAAUGCCGAACCUAUCCCUCAUGCCACUUAAGCCAAGUUGUCAUCCCCAGCAUGACAUGAGAGACGCGGUAUUGAAAUAUGCAAUUGCUCUUCUGAAUAAAUAAUAAAAGGGAUCGGCAAGCGCACAAAUUAAUACCUAUUGACACCAUUUUUGGACACGUAUCCAGGAUCGGUAGAGUGUGGAUCGGCAAGACAGAAUAAUGGUUACUGUUCUGCAGAAGGGUUGCUGAUGAGGGCGGUUGCCGACGAGAAGACAGCUGAAUAUGGCUAGGUCUGUGGAUGGUGAUGUGUUUAUGCCGAUGGCCAGUAUUAAUCGUUGCCGAUGGGGAGUCUGCCGAUGAUGUGGAAGGAAGACUUGGAGGUCGCUAAUUGAUCCGUGGUGGUGUCUCAGCCUGUCGCGGCAGGAUAGGUUUAUGUUUUCCUUAGUUAUUUAAAUCGUUUUGUACACGGAUUCUGUUUAAAUAUGGAAUUCGAAUUCUAGUCGUGUCUGGUUGUAGCUCUUUGAGCAGAGUAUAAAUGUAGACCCUAGGGCCUUGUAAUUAGGAGAAUCAAUCAAUCAAUCAAACACAAGUUUCUACUUAUAUUCCAGCAUCUAAUUUUUUGACGACUUCGUCAUAUUUUCCCUUUUCCAUUACGAGUUCUUAGGAGUUCGUCGACUUAAGCUCGACGUAUUCUCAAGUUCCGCGUGAAUACCUCUUGGCCGUGGCAUCCGGGCGCAUCGCUGUUGUCGGGACCAAAGUAUUCGAGUUAUCACCUUUGCCGAUAGUAAGGUCAAAUCGGCUGGCACGACUUAACGUUUAAAUCGGGUAUUAGCCCUUUGUGUUUGCAGAUCAACUUUUGCAUCAACACAUCUUUUGGCAUGCCAGUGCGACCAGAUUCAAGAUCAAGAUCGACAUGUCGACUACUGAGUUUGAUCAGGAGAAUGUCAUCCCUGUGACGGAAGCCAAUCUCAAAUAUGAGCAGAAGCAAGCUAUUGCAAAAGCCAUGGAGGAUUACAAGCAGCAUUGUUUGAGGUCCUUCAGUAUCAACAGGAGUGGCGAAGUGAUCCAGAAGGAAGCACUGCCGAUGCCUCGGCAGGUUACUUUUGAAGCCAAUCCUGGUAAAUUCCAAGACAUGGUUGAUAGUGCUAUUAACCGUGCUCUGAUCAAUCAAGCUGGCGUGCUGUCCAAUACGGAUUUCAGUGCCGUGGCUAGAACUUUCAAAGAAGGACAGUUGCCACCAGAUUAUGUGGGCCCUUCUCAUCAUCAGCAAGGAUCACCGGUGGUCACAGCUCCGUCGGCUGCUACAGCCGCUGCAGGCACACAAACUACCGUUCCUCCAAGCACGUUAGGAUUCACUAAUGCACAAUCUACACCGAUGACGACUAAUCCACCAACUUCAGACGGGCAGAUCAAGCUUGCUACAGAUCUAUUGGCAUCGGCAAUGUCGGGAUCGGUUCCUCCUCCUACCUGGUGGGGUUUUGGUAUGCCCCCGGAGUUCACGCUGAAGACACCUGGUACGUCCCAGGCAGUUGAUAUGAGAGGCAAGGCUCCUAUGGCAUCGACACCUCCAAAUAUGCCGAUGAAUCAAAGUCCCCAGUAUACUACAACCACUACUGCAAGGCCUUACACUGUAAUUCUCAAGCUCCAACGUUCCAGAUGCCUAACGCAUCGGCAGACUCAAUGCUGAUGCAACAGAGGUUUAUGGCUCAGCCAGGGUAUAUCAAUUCAAUGAUGAUACCCAAUUGCCAGUCAUCGGCAGGGCCUAUGCCGAUGAACGCUAAUAGUGGAGGGCUUGGGCAACAAGUCUUUCCGCAAAUGUCCCAACAAAAUCAUCAGGCUACCGGGUUUCAAUAAGGCCAGAUCUAUCCCGGAUUCCAGAACAAAGGGUUGCCCAACCAGCUGAUGAAUCUUGGGCAGCAGAUCGGAGUACAGCAGAUCGGCGGGCAACAGUUUGGUGGUCAGCAGAUGGGUGGCCAUGUGACUAACCCGAUAUUCCAUGUAGAUCGUACACCGCACAGACACGUGGAAGCUUACCAACAGAUGCCAGAUCCGCAACCGCCUCAUCGGCAAGAUUGCUGAAGUAAUGAGAGACCAAUUUGGGAUAAAACCCAAAGUCAAUACUUACUCUUAUCGGACACCGUAUCCUCCUGCAUAUGAUUUAAUCCCGCUUCCAAAUCGGUACAAAGUGCCGGACUUUACUAAGUUUUUACGGCAGGAUGAUACAUCAACCAUGGAGCAUGUCAACAGAUUCAUCAUCCAAUGCGGAGAAGCCGCCAAUAGAGACGAGUUAAGGGUUCGCUUGUUCUCGUCAUCAUUAUCUGGAUCGGCUUUCACCUGGUUUAUAUCAUUACCUCCCAACUCAGUAAUUACUUGGGCCGAUCUAGAAAAGCAGUUCCACAAAUUCUUCUUUUUUGGAGUCCAUGAGAAGAAGAUCACUGAUUUAGUCAAAUUGAAGCAACACAAUGAUGAAUCAGUUGAAUGUUUUGUGCAGAGGAUACGGGAAGUCAAGAACAAAUGCUAUAGCCUGGUUCUGGAUGAUCGGCAGCUAGCCGAUUUGCCUUUCGAGGGCUUGUUGCCACAUAUCAGGGACAAGUACGCAUCCAAGGAGUUUGAAAGCUUAAGUCAUUUGGUGCAGAGGAUUUCUGAUCAAGAUAUCAAGCCUUUUGAACCCAAGAGAGCGUGGAAUAAAAAGGUCUCCUUCGUUGAUGAAGCAGCAAGCUCAGACACUGAUGAGGAACUAGUCAUCGACUUAGCAGAAUAGGUAAAAAAUAAGAAGCCGAUGUCUUAUCCUUUUGGACACAAAGAGCCAGAGAAGUUCGCGUUUGACAUCACUAAGGCCGAUAGGAUAUUUGUCUUUCUAUUUCAGGGAGGUCAAAUCAAAUUGUCACCCAAUCAUGUAAUCCCAUCGGCUGAAGAAUUAAAAAGGAUGAAGUACUGCAAAUGGCACAAUGCAACUUCUCAUAGCACAAAUGAGUGCAAAGUUUUUAGGCAACAGCUGCAAUCGGCUAUAGAAUCUGGAAGGAUCAAAUUCGACAGCUCUAAAUCUCAGAAGCCGAUGAAGAUUGAUCAACAUCCUUUCCCAACAAACAUGUUGGAUGCUAAGGGAAAGACCAAGGUCUUAACAUCAGAAACAGCUGAAAGAAGUGCAUCGGUGGAUCCUCAACAUCAGGUCACUACUGCCGAUGCAAAAGGAAAAGGCUUGAUCCACGAGGGGACUAACACAGGGAGGCCUCCCCGAUCUGGUAUUGUGAUAACUCACAGAAGGCCUCGGGAAACUUGGCAGCAACGUGAGGAUCGGUAUCGGCGCCAGCAAGAGGACUAUCGUCGAGAAGAAGAAAGACGCCGACAGGAGUGGAAUCGGCAUAGGGAUCACUGGAAUUGUCCGUUCUUCAUCCAUUGUUGGGAGGAAAAUAUCAAACUCCCUACUGUCAGAGAUUGUCCUGAGUGCAACAGUUAUGAUCGGUAUGACAGAUCCGAUCGGCGCUAUCACAAUGAUGAUCGUCGAUUCAAUGGGCCGAUUAAGGGAAGAGCGUCCAUUCACGAUCGACUGGGGGGCAGGCUCAGUGUGCAUGAUAGGCUCGGCAAUCGUGUUGGAUAUUUUCCCAGGAACCGGGAAGAACUUGAAGAGAUGGCUAAUGCUCGAGUUCCCGAUGAAUUCAUAUUUUGCAGGGAUGCCAAUACUUAUCGGAUGGAGUCAAGGGAAAAUUACCGCCCAUCGGUAAGGCAGCAGCAACUUCCUCCAUGGUGUCCAGAAGGGUUGACCAGGACACAGAAAAGAAGACUACAGCGCGAAAGGCAAGAAGAGCUAAGCAAGGGCGAGAACUCUGGCUAGUCUGGGGAUCAGCAGCAAUCAGAUCCUAAGGGGGAAGGUCCAUCGGCGGAUGUCAACAUGGUAUUUAUGUUGCCGAUGGAGUUCCUUGCACCAUCCAGUGAUGAUGAGUUGGAGUUUUCCGACCAGAUAGCUCAGUUGUCUCUAGAUCCAAUGACAGCCAUCUUCGAAAAGCCUGCCGAUAAUGAAAGGCAACAUCUUAAGGCUCUGUUUGUCAAAGGGAGAGUGGAUGGUCAGCCAAUGACCAAGAUUCUAGUUGAUGGUGGAGCGUCUAUCAAUAUCAAGCCAUAUGCAGUGUAUCAGAAGCUUGGAAAAGGAGAUCAGGAUUUGACCAAGACCAAUAUGAUGCUAAAGGACUUUGAAGGCAAUGUGUCUCCGGUUAAGGGAGCCAUCUGUGUCGAGUUGACCAUCGGCAGCAAAACCUUGCUGACAACCUUCUUCGUAAUCAGUGGAAAAGGUGCUUAUAACUUGCUGUUAGGGAGAGAUUGGAUUCAUGCCAAUUGUUGCAUCCUGUCUACAAUGCACCAAUGCUUGUAGGAGAUUGUCCCAGGAGAUUCUUCUUAUGUCAUUGCAUCUACAGAAGCAGACACCUAUGAGAGAACUAGGUGUAUUUCAGGAGAGGUCUGGGAAAAGUAUUUUCUCAAAGUUGCCGACUAUGAAAUUCCACCGAUCCAAGCAGUCGGUUCUGACGAAGAGUUUUAAUGGAUAGGUUCGUCGAUGAUGGAAAAUUAGGCAAGAGAUUCACAUCGGCCGAUGAUCUAGUAGAAGUAGACAUAGGCAGUGGUGAUAAACCUAGACCUACUUUUAUUAGUGCUAAGUUAAGUUCUGAGUGUAAGCAACAGUUAACUGAUUUGUUAAAGGAAUAUAAAGAUUGCUUUGCUUGGGAUUAUACUGAGAUGCCUGGUUUGGACCGAUCGAUUGUUGAACAUCGGUUGCCUAUCAAGUCUGGAUUUCGGCCACAUCAGCAUCCAGCUCGCCGAUGUAAUCCUAAUAUUCUUCCUGAUAUUAAGGCCGAAAUAACCAAACUGAUUGAAGCUAAAUUUAUUCGGCAAUGUCGGUAUGCCGAGUGGAUUUCCAAUGUGUUUCCAGUCUACAAGAAAAAUGGGAAGCUUCGGGUCUGCAUUGAUUUCAGGAAUCUUAAUAAAGCUACACCGAUGGAUGGUUACCCAAUGACAGUUGUCGAUCUGCUAGUUGAUGCUGCAGCCGGGCAUCAGAUUAUCAGCUUUAUGGAUGGCAAUGCAGGAUACAAUCAAAUAUUCAUGGCUGAAGAAGAUAUUCCAAAAACUGCAUUUAGAUGUCCUGGUCAUGUUGGGUUGUUUGAAUGGAUAGUCAUGACCUUUGGCUUGAAGAAUGCUGGUGCCACUUAUCAGAGAGCCAUGAAUUUUAUAUUUUAUGAGUUCAUCGGUAAGCUGGUGGAAAUUUAUAUUGAUGAUGUGGUGGUUAAGUCUGGAGACUUCACAAAGCAUCUUGCCGAUUUGUGAAAGGUGUUGGAAUGCACAAGGAAGCAUGGUUUGAAGAUGAAUGCCAAUAAAUGUGCAUUUGGUGUAUCGGCAGGACAAUUCUUUGGUUUCAUGGUGCAUCAGAGGGGGAUUGAGAUCAGUCGAAGAUCCAUUGAUACCAUCAACAAAAUAGUUGCUCCUACCAACAAGACUGAGCUCCAGUCCUUGAUCGGCAAGGUAAAUUUUAUCAGGAGAUUUAUAUCUAAUUUAUCUGGUAAAAUUCGUGCUUUCAGUCCUUUGCUUAAGUUGAAAGCCGAUCAAGAAUUCGUUUGGGGGAAGGAACAACAAUUGGCCUUGGAUGAAAUCAAGAAUUAUUUGGUGAAUCCUCCAGUCCUGAUUCCACCUCAGCAAGGGAAGCCCUUCAGAUUGUAUUUGUCUACCGAUGGGAUGGUCAUCGGUUCGGCUUUGAUUCAGGAAUUUCAAGGGAAGGAACGUGUGAUUUACUAUUUAAGCAGGAGGUUGAUCGAUGCUGAGACUAGGUAUUCGGCUAUUGAGAAGCUGUGUUUAUGCUUGUACUUCUCCUAUGUCCAGUUGAGACAUUAUUUGUUAUCGGCCGAAUGCACUGUCAUAUGCAAAGAUGAUGUGGUCCGAUACAUGUUGUCUAUGCCGAUCAUGAGUGGCAGGAUUAGUAAGUGGAUUUUGGCACUAUCGGAAUUUGACUUGCGUUAUGAAUCGGCUAAGGCGAUUAAAGGACAGAUUAUGGCCGAUUUUGUAACUCAACACUGCGGUACAGUGGAGGUUUUGGAAAUUGUACCUUGGACGCUCUUCUUUGAUGGAUCCACGUGUGACCGGGGGGCAGGAAUCGACAUAGUAUUAAUUUCCCCUCAGGGAAGGAAAUAUGAGUUUUCCUUGCCGAUUGUUGCCACGUCCACAAAUAAUCAAGCUGAGUAUCAAGCUUUGAUAAAGGGUUUGGAAUUGUUGAGGGAAGUUCAUGCUGAUGCUGUUGAAGUCUUCAGGGAUUCUAUGCUGGUUAUAAAUCAAUUGGCUGGAAGCUAUGAAUGCCGAAGUGAAGUCCUCAUAACUUAUCACGAAAGGAGUAUGCAACUGUUAAAGGAAUUCAAGGAUUUCCGAUUAGAGCUUGUUCCUCGAUUGCAUAAUGAAGAGGCCAAUCGGUUGGCCCAGCAUACCUCGGGAUAUCAACCCAUGAUAAAUGCAAUAUCGGCAACUGGUGCCAAUGAUUGGAGGAAAGAAAUCAUUGAUUAUUUAAAGGAUCCAUCUAAGAAAGUUGAGAGGCGCGUUCGGUUUCAAGCUACCAAGUAUGUGCUCCUUGAAGGUGAAUUAUAUUACCGAACUAUCGAUGGGAUUCUUCUCAUAUGCUUAGGUGAUGAUGAGGCUAAGGGUUUGAUGGGAGAGAUCCAUGAGGGAGUAUAUGGAGCACAUCAGUCGGCUUUUAAGAUGAAGUGGAUGAUUAGAAGAAAUGAGUAUUAUUGGCCAACUAUACUAGAGAAUUGCUUUAAGUAUUUCAAAGGGUGUCAAGGCUGUCAGAAAUUUGGUAAUGUCCAAAGGGCACCUGCAUCAGCUAUGAAUCCUAUCAUCAAGCCUUGGCCGUUCCGGGGAUGGGCUAUUGAUUUGAUCGUCCAAAUUUAUCCGCCAUCCAGCAAAGGACAUAAAUUCAUUCUAGUUGCCACCGAUUAUUUCACCAAAUGGGUUGAAGCUAUUCCUUUAAAGAAAGUUACAUCGGCCAAUAUGAUUGAUUUUGUGAAAGAGCACAUUAUCUACUGAUUUGGGAUUCCUCAAACAAUUACUACCGAUCAGGGUACUAUGUUCACAUCAGGGGAGUUUGAUGAAUUUGCAAUCGGUAUGGGAAUUAAAAUAUUAAACUCUUCUCCUUACUAUGCUCAAGCUAAUGGGCAGGCCGAGGCAUCUAACAAAGGAAUUAUCAAGCUCAUUAAACGAAAGAUUGAAGAAAAUCCUAGGAGGUGGCACACAUUGUUAAACGAAGCCUUAUGGUCAUACCGAAUGGCUUGUCAUGGAUCGACCAAGGUUUCACCUUAUCAGUUGGUGUAUGGGCAUGAUGCGGUGUUACCUUGGGAAAUUAAGACUGGGUCUAGGCAACUAUCUUUUUAAGAUCAGUUGACUGCCGAUGACUAUGCUACUUUGAUGACAGACGAGUUGAAUGAUCUAGCCGGGCAUCGGCUAAGGGCUUUGAUGAGUAUAGAAUAAAAUAAGAAGAGAGUUGCUAGAUGGUAUGAUAAGAAGGUAAAGGCUAAAGAAUUUGCCGAUGGAGACUUUGUAUGGAAAUUAAUCUUACCGAUCGGGACUAAAAGUUCAAAAUUUAGGAAGUUGCUCAUCCCUGAGCAAGGAUACUCUCAGCGAUGGAUCAGAAGUUGCUGUAAUGCCUUUAAAAAUUGACGGUACACAUGCUUUUUAAAUAAGAUAUCAUCUCUGAGUUAGAGUAAACUGUCAGACUUAAAACUUAAUUACUUUACCUUUCACCAUGGGACUUGUAACCGUUACUUCUGGCUUGAGUAGUUAAAAGAUAGAACAGUUUAGCCAAGUGCCAUGUCUCUUAUUCUUGAUCAGCUAUAGCUCUGGAGUUUUUGCAGAUUUUCAAAUAAAACUCAGAGAUUCCUUGUAUGACUCUCUCAAAUCUCUCUUUUGUGGUAUUUCUGGAUCCUUACCAAGGCAGUGAUGGUAUAUGCCUUCUCUCAAUGUAUGUAGUAUUUGUGGUAUAUGGCAUAGUGACAUUACCUUCUCUCUCACCCUACUCUAAUAAGGCUUGAUAUCUGGAGCUCAUAGGUGGGAGAUAAAAUAUACAUACUUACAAGACAUUUAUUGUAUAGUCAAACCAUGGAUCCAAAGAAACAAGCCAAUAAGUCAAAUCAAGAUGUGCAUGUGUGGCGAAUGAAUGGUGUAUGGUGAUGAUGGUGAUAACAAUGGUGAAAGUCUAAUUCUACUUGUGCUCUUUUGAGGGGAUACAUACCUUCCUUGCUCUUUUGAAACUUUGUGAGGAGAAUGAGAUGCUCUUCUUUUUUUUUCUUUUUCUUUCCUCUCAGGUGGGUAUCUCGUAACCCUAAUUCUACUGUCGGACACUUGUCUAUUUUUAUCUCUCGUCUCACUCUUUUCUUUCUUUCGAGGUUCCGGGCACUUGUCCCUUUUUAUUUCCUCGUAUCUUUCUUUUUUUAGAGCACUCAUCUCAUGAGAUAAUAUAGCAAGUGGUAGUAACCAAGAUAACUUGAGCAUUUAUUUCAUAAGGAAAAACAGAAAUAUUUUUGGCUAUUCUCUCCCAGAUUAGGAGUAGAAUAUUUUUAGGUGGUUCUGGAGAUGGAAAUGGGUGGAUAUAUGUGGAUGGUACUUCCAGAGUAGAAGUAGCAUAUGUGAGUGAACGUGCAAGUGAAUCUUUAUUUGACCACAUGACAAGCUCCUAAGGGUCUACACAACUUGACCACACUCAAUGCUCAUAAGCAGUAAAUAGUAAAUGUGUGGCUCAAAGUCUAGCAAGCAUGUAUAUAUGGCUGUGGUAGGAAUUUAAACUCUCAUCAUACAGAAAAUCAUCAUGUGCUAUUUUAAAGAUUUUAAAAGAUAAAUUCUCCAGAAUUUCUAGCAUCUCUAGGAAUAGAUAAACAGCAGCUCAACCUUCUCAUAUCAUAUCCGUUAACAACUUAGACUUCAGAGCAAAUUUUCAUCCCACAAGUUUAGGUUUAGAGCAAGCUUUAAAUUAUAAAAGUUAUAUCUAAACUGGUGAGAGAACUUAAAAUUUGAAAAUUAGGCAGAGCAACUAUUCAUCGUAUCUAUGCUAGAGUUUUAUUUAGAUUCAGUUUAGCAUAACCACUUUAUUUAUUUAUUAAACACACUAAGCAAAAGACAUAUAUUUAUAUAGGCACAAAAUCUUUAUUUGGUUUUUCUUGGUUUAUGUAUAUUUAUAUAUUAAUAUAGUAUAAGUAUAAAGAUAGAUAGAUAGAAAUACUUGUCGGGAUAAAUAGGGGUGCUCUCCCCCAAGCUGAAUUUUGACGUAAUUUCUCUUGAUGUAGCUUGCAGGUGGCAGAGGUGUAUUUGAAAGUCGGCACUAUCCUGACAGCGAUUAGAAUAUCCUCCGUCUUGUGGAACUGAUUAAGUGUUAGCAUAAAUAUCUAGCCUUUAUCAUGUUGAGCCUCCUUAAUAAAUGUUACUCCCUUUUUUAUAUUUUCAUUUUAUAGAACAGAAAAGAAAUAUUUAUUUUAUUUUUAUGCCACCACAGUGAAUGUACUUAUGGGUUUUAUGCCACUCGUAUACUCACAUGGGGCGUACUGUUUUUAACAUUUUUUUUUCUUUUUAGGAUAGUAUUAACAUGAUGAACUAAGCAAACUAAUUUAAAUAAUUGAAAGGGAAAGGAUAACUACCAAGUUUACCUCUUGGCAAGGCGUUCGGUGUUUUUAAGUCUUCCGAACGUGACUCUCCGUUUUCUUCAGUUGUCCUGGGGUUCGUUUGGUGGCGGAGUCGGUACUUCCGGUAGCGCCUCCUCUUCAUGUAUAGUUAUCUUCUCUUUCCACACUUGACUCGGUGCUACGGUCUCCUCUAGAUAAUUCUGUUUAAACUGUAUGUCUUCUGAUCUUAUCACUUCUCCUUCGUAGUCUGCCCAUCCGUCCUUGAUGAUUUGCCUCCUCUAGUUGCGGUUGCGUGGUUUCCAGACCUGCUUAGAGUCUUCAACGAUAUAGUUAGGGUCAGUAAAAUAGCGGCGUACCUUCUCUGAGGGUAAGUGCAUAUGGACUUCUCCAGUUCCAAUGUAGAUGAUUGCUUUAACAGUUCUGAGGAACGGUCUUCCAAGGAUGAUGGGUGGAUCGUAUUCGUCUUCUCCCAUGUCAAUAACAUGAAAGUCUGUGUAGACAAAAUGAUCGUCUAUUUUGACAGGGACAUCGGUUACUGUACCUUUAACAUCUCGAAAUGUCUGAUCUGCCAUCUGGAGCUGAAUGGAUGUUGGUCUUAGGGGCAUGGUUCUGAACAAGAGUUGAUAGGUGACUGCGGCCAUUAUGUUGAUGCCCAAUCCGGUGUCACAAAAUGUAUUGUAGAAGUUGUAUCCAUUUAUGGAGCAAUAGAUGCUUGGCAUUCCUGGGUCGUCCUUCUUGGUCAGAAAUGGUGACUUAAGUUGAUGAUCUUGACCUCCUUGAACUGCAGUGACCGUCUUAGCUGAUUCAGUCCACACUUGCUUGUUUCUGUUCCUCCUGUUGGUCCUCUUCCUUGGUUCCUGUCGAGAUUGCUCUGGGAUUUGUGUAGUCUUGUUCUUGAAGAAAAAUGUCUCCUUUCUCCCUUUGAUGUAGAAACUGAUCUUGGCAGCACUAGCGUAGAUGACAACUCUCGUGGUGUUUAGGAAUGGCCUCCCUAAGAUGAU